UCUCCUCCUCCUUGUUGAUCGAUUCAGUGAACUUUUUCAAUUAGAGGAUGUUGCUUCUCGAGUUUAUUUUAGACGUUAGGCAUGUCACCAACUAACGAUAGGUAAUCAACUAGAGGUCAGUCAUCGGUGUCAUCCUUUUAAAGAUUUUCAUUUUAGGAUCGCCGAAUUGUUUUGAUCAGAUAUUCCAUUCCAGUUGAGUUGAGGAUGACUGGAGGAUUGAGAAUUAAUCCUGUUGGAUUGAUCAAUUGACAUGAUGAUAUACAUAACCUAACCAAAUAGAUAGGCAAUUUUGGCGGCUAACUUUUAAUAACACGAUGUGGUUAGUUCAACAACCGGAUAGAGAUGGGAUUAGGAGACGUUAUCCCUUCUGCUCAUCUGUUUCUAGAAAAAAAAAAUGAAGGGUCAAAAUUCAACUCCGAGAAGCAACCAAGCCUGCAACUGUCCCAACUUUUGUGACAUGCAGUUGCUCAAGUUGCUCAACCAGUACACACAAUUUUCUUUUUCAUAGUUGAUCACGAAACAACUACUUGUUUGGUUUAAUUUGAUUCGAGAUUAUCCUUAAUCUGCACCAAACUAAUCAACGCAUGGUCGUACGUACAGAUCCAUGGCAUCCUGAACGCGGUGAGCUGGGGCAUCCUGAUCCCGAUGGGCGCCAUGAUCGCGCGCUACCUCCGCGUGUUCGAGGCCGCCGACCCGGCAUGGUUCUACCUCCACAUCACCUGCCAGCUCUCCGGCUACAUCCUCGGCGUCGCCGGCUGGGCCCUCGGCCUCAAGCUCGGCAGCGAGUCCAAGGGCAUCACCUACAGCGCCCACCGCAACAUCGGCAUCGCCAUCUUCUGCCUCGCCACGCUCCAGGUGUUCGCGCUGCUGCUGAGGCCCGACAAGAAGAACAAGUACAGGUUCUACUGGAACAUCUACCACCACUCCGUCGGCUACUCCGCCAUCGUCCUCGCCGCCGUCAACAUCUUCAAGGGCCUCGACAUCCUCAAGCCGGCCAGCGGCUGGAAGAGGAGCUACAUUGCCAUCCUCGCCACGCUCGCCGGCGUCGCGCUCCUGCUCGAGGCCAUCACCUGGGUCAUCGUCCUCCGGCGGAAGAAGAGCGACAAGUCGUCGUCGCCGUACGGCGCCACCAACGGCAACGGGCGCGCGUAGUUUGAUCAGCAUCUGAUCGACGUGUGCCUUGCGCUACGGCCUACGGGUGUGUAGUUUUGCUGCGAUGUGUGUGUGUAUUUGUCUUCUGCUAGCUGUGUAUCUUCCAUUUUUUGUUACUGCUUCUGUAGACUACGUAGAGGUUCAGAGAUUAUUUCUUUUCCUUUUUUUUUUUACAUUUUCAGGUCUCACGAUGACACAUUUGUAUACAUUUUUUUUCACCUUGAUGUAUGAUUACCUUUAUUUAUGCAUACGUUUGAUUACGAUUAGAUGGCACCUCCCUCAUGAGAAUCUCUGAAAGUUCAUUGGUUGAGACGUUGAGUGGGUAUACAAGUAGUACAAAUUUUGCUGAUAUAUACAUUUUACUGUUUUUGUCACUAGCGAAGGAAGUUUCCGGCUAGAACGAUUCAACCAUUGGAUAACGUCAUUUGCAAGCACUUAGGUGAAAACAACAUGUGGAUGUUUUCUAGUAGAGGGAUAUAUACCAUCAUGAAAAGAAAACUAGUAUUUAUGUCCGGUCUCAAUAUAUACCUCCACUUGACAGCAUCGUAGCCUAAAGGAAGACGAGAAAGCAAUGGUUAGGUAUGUAACGGGGGCAAUUUGGCCUGUCACCGUAUGACAAUGGGCCUGUUUGAUAAGAAAAGGCGACAGUGUGAAAACAUAAUGGCAUUAUUAAGACAUUUGAUGUGAUAUAACUAAACUGGAUGAUACAGUACAUAGGCAGAUCAAUACAAACAUUGGAUGAAUUCUGAUUAACUUCACAAGAAUCAAUCCAUUUCCUACGGAGAUUCACAAAAUUGUUGCUUUUCCGAACUUUGCCUUUGUACUAUCUUCUUUGUAUCUUUGCCCGUGAUGUAAGCUUGCACUGCUUUGCAGAUACGGCAGUUCAGCCGCUCGAUUAGAUUACUCAAAGAAAAUCCUGAAAAUGAUGCCGAUUUCGAUGACUAAAAAAAACUGUCACGACACGGAGAACACCUUCUUUUGUUUUCCUAAUCAUCUGAUGAGAAAAAGAACUAGUAGUACUAUAUUGGGCCCCCUGGGGUGACAGGGUCAGUUUGCUAGAUUGACACGCAAAAACGAGUGAAGAAUCCGGCCAUGCAUCUCGGUCCAAAGCGCGCACGCAAGCGUGAUGCUCACAUGACGUCCAUGGGCCUUCUGGAGGGUGACUCGCCCUAGGCGAUUUUGUGGUCCAUUAGAAGGUCCAGCCUGUGAAUCAACGACUCAGAGAUGGGCCUACCUGCCCAAGCAGCCCAGCGCCGUGCGGUGCGGGUGCGGGCAUACCUAGCUCGGCAGGGCGGCGGGGAGACCCCCGAGGGCUUAACCGUAAGCCCAUGUAGGGCAGCGAGCCGAACUGGACUGGACUGAUGGAGAUAUGGGAGUGAGCACUGUGGCGGUGGCCUGGUGGAGCGUGGGGCACUGGGGAGUACGCGGCCUAGCGGGGAUGGAGAUUAGGCGGGCCUUGAGCAUUGGCAUUGGUGUGGCCCAACUGCGUGGCCCGCGGCCAUGGCUGGGUAUGAGGCUGGCUGCGGCCUGCAGCUGGACUGCCACUAGCCUACUACUAUGGCGUGCGCGGCUCCGCGUGCUAUCCGGACUUUGAUGAGUAAUAAAUUUCAUAUUAUAAAUCGUUUGAUUUUUUUUUAUUUUUAAUCAAGUUUAUAAUAGUAGUAUUUUUAAAUCACAACAAACAUAUUAUUAAAAUAUAUUCAAUGUUAGAUUUAAUGAAACUAAUUUGAUAUUUUAGAUGUUGCUAAUUUUUUCUAUAAACUUAAUCAAACAACUUAUAAUAUGAAACGAAGAGAGUAGCAAAAUAGUUGUGUUUCGUUGCGUAUAGAAGGAAAUAUAUUGUAAUAUAUUAUAGAUGAAAUAUAUUAAUUUUAUCAAAUAUGGUAGUAUAACUUAUAUAUUUAUUCGAAUAUAUGGUAUUCAUUUAUUUGAAACAAAUGUUGACUAUUCCAUAAUAUCAGAAAUAUAAGAGCUAUUCUAAAUAAAUUAUAAAAGGUAGUUUGGGGGGGGGGGUAGGUUUACUGCCACCACCACUAGAGGCUUAAUGAGUACUAUAAAACAUAUAGUUUUGUGAUACAUCAUAUUAAAUCUAUAUGUUUAUGACAAUUUAGUCUUUUAUAAUUUGACCGUUGAAAAUAUUAUUCUAGUAUGGCUCUUUUUAUCGGAGUACCGAGGUUCAACAUCUCGCCCGCCAAUAACACUGGUAUAUACCCUAGUCCCUCGCCACCAAUAACACUGGCACAUACUGUAGCCCCCUGUGCAGUGGUAGCUAAGUCACUGAUACGUAGGAUAUCGAUGCUAAUGGUACCAAUAACCUAUUUUUAAAAAAAAUAUAUAAAAAGGGUCAAAUGUAAUUUUUUUAUUACAAAUAGGUUGUCGGUGUCGGUUUCUUGGGCACCAACCCCUCCACAUCUCGGCUGCUAAGGGUGAGGGUUGUCAUUGGCAUCAAGAAAAAGAUAUAUUUUUUAAAGGAAGUUUUAAAAGGCUAAAAUGUAGAAAAUAAAGUCCAGCCCCAGUUAAAGUUCUGGUCUGGAAGAGCUAACUUGUUGAAGGGUGAAUUCCUAGUGAACGAUGGAACGAACUGUUCAACCGUUCAAGUCCGUAGCCCAUCCUCGACGUUUGAGAAAGUUCGAUUCAAUUCAUUCUUCGAUCUUCUCUUCCGGCCUAGUACUAAUUCAAAUUUUCGAUUGAAAUGUCAGCACGAUUUUUCUAGUACUCCAUCCGUUUCACAAUAUAAGUCAUUCUAUCAUUUCCUAUAUCUAUACACAUAUAUCUAUAUAUAUUCAUUAACAUCAAUAUAAAUAUGGGAAAUACUAGAAUAACUUUUUUUAAGAAAAUGCUAGAAUGACUUACAUCAUGUGAAACGGAGGAGAUGUAAUGAAACAGAGGGAGUAGGAUUUUGGUUCAACUUACACAACCAUCUACCAUACCACUACCGGUCUACCGCUAGCCCCAUCUAUUCGCCACCAGAACGUCUCUUUCUCCCCGCGACGUUCAAACACAACACCCAAUUCCCAUUUAGAGCUCACACAUGCUGGUAGCACGAGCUAGCUGCGCUGUGGCCGUGAAAGACCGACCGCGACCGCGAACCAACGGCGGUCGGCGCGUUUUCCAGAUGGAGCACGCACGCGCGCGCGCAACCGAGCGGGAUUUCCUCGACAUUCCACGGGUUGCCAACCGCCACCGCACCGCACCGCACGCAUCAUCGCGCAGCAGUUGCGCCGGCCUUUCGCGGCGUUUGCUCCUGCACAGAUACCAUACACCGCGCCGCGCGCGCGCAUGUGGGGGUUUUCUCCGGUGGUCUCGAAUCGAUCGAACGAACGCUGCUCCCCCGGGCGCGUUCCAAUUGCGGAGAAACAUGCAUGCUGCUUUGGCUGCUUUGCCGCAUUGACCACGACUUGACAAGGACUCGGAUAUACGGAGCACCCACAUUUCGCGCGGCGCGUGGUGGGUCUCUCGUCUCGCGUCUCCCCUCCCGUCCUUGUCGCCUCUUUUUCUCCUAGGCCGAGCGAUCGGCACGCGGCACCGCGGAGACGGAGAAUCCAGCUGGGGAAAAAGUUAGGCUGUCUUUAGAGGAUAUAAAGUCUCGCCGUGUCACAUCGGAUAUUAUAUAUGGUAUCGUAUGGGUGUUCAGGCACUAAUAAAAAAAACUAAUUACAUAAUCCGUUAAUAAACCACGAGUUGAAUUUAUUAAGUCAUCCGUUAAUAAACCACGAGUUGAAUUUAUUAAGUCUAAUUAAUCCAUCAUUAGUAAAUGUUUAUUGUAGCACCACAUUGUCAAAUCAUGGAGUAAUUAGACUUCAAAGAUUCGUCUUGCAAAUUAGUCGCAAUGUAUGCAAUUAGUUAUUUUUUAGCGUAUAUUUAAUACCUCAUAUACUACUUCAUACAUGUGUUCAAACGUUCGAUGUGAGAGGGUGUAAAAUUUUGGUGUGGGAUCCUUGAUCCAAGUGGAACAGGGCACAUCAUCAUAUUACAUGGAAACGGCCAAUAGAGAGAGGAAACUAAUCCUGGCUAGUCAAACAGAUAUCCACACUGCGUUUAGAUCGAUUCGACCGUCACCGUCGCCUCGCUCGUCAGCUUAAUAUAAUUCCACACGAGCCUUUUGCUUUCGUUAACAGUUCACUCCAGUCACGACUCCUGAAGAAAAACUAACGGUCGCUUGCUUGGCUCUUGGCCGCUGCCCGAUGUGUCCCGUCGAGGAACUCGUCAGAAAACCAAUAGCUAGGCUGGAGUGCUUGUCCUCGAAUCCUCGAUCGAUCUAUCUAUAUCUCAGCAACGUGUUCUCCUUUUCCCGUUCGUUGGUUAGUCCUGGUGAAGCUGUACGUACGAUGGGACUCGCGUUUCGUUCUCCAAAGCGAGCAAGAGACAAGAAUUUUUCUUCUUCUUUCUUUGCUGAAUUCCCGUAUAUAUAUUCACGAUGCUAUGCUCGCACGAUGUAAUGCAUUCUGCUUCAUGUGCAGCACGGUGUUUGCAUGGUUUGCAAACGUAUAGCAGAGUAUACGUGUUGUGGUCUUGUGGAGUUGCGUAAGAACAAGCAGUACCAGCUCUGAUGGAAGUACCACGAUUGGAUUGAAAUGGGCAAGAAGCUCACUUGGACGACAACCUGCCGAAAGAAUCCAGCUAGCAACUUGGACCACAAUCUCACUAGCUAUCAUUAUAUAUUAUUAUCAAGAAACACUGGGAUCUUCCGGCUAGCUUUUCAUAAGGUAAUGGACUAUGACCUGAGUUCGAAGCCUCACCCCAUCUUAAUAUAGUAACUUUUAAUUAUAAAUUUGGAUACAACAGUUGUAUAGUAAAUAUAUUAGGUUGUUAAACGACGAGGAUAUCAUCGUAUUACGCGCAUGCUGCAUUUUAAGACUAAGGGAGUAAUAAUUUAUCAUCGUAUGACGCGCAUGCGCAUGCACUGCUAGCUUGCCACAUUUCACAGAACUUCUUCCUAUACCUUUCUUACGUAUUCAGAAAUCUAAAAAGGAUAUCACAGAACAGCUCAUCAGGUUAACUGUGAUGAUUUUGCAAGGAAGCUCAUGAGCUAGCUAGCCUGAAUGUUCAUACACAUUUCGGAGAUAUUUCCCACGUACUUUAUCGUUGUGGCCAUUGCUAUCACUUGAACUACUCCAUUUCGAUCUUGUAUUCUUCUCGCUCACACACAUGCUCAGUACGUACUAGGAGUACAUCUUUUUAACAAAAAAAAGUUAUAGUAUGAAAGUAACAAUAUGACUAAUGAUCAUUAAUUUCACGUUUAAAAUGGGUGAGAAAACUAUAGACAAAUAAUUUACAUAGAAGGUGACACUUUGACUGAAUUUACUAAUGCUUGUCACACACUUACAAUUAGUCAACUAUUAAUUAAUCUAUAAAGAGCCCGAUAGAAUCCGAGCCAUGAGCCGCGUACGUAGUUUUUGUAUACUCCACUCCACUCGUCCUCCCAAUAGAAUCGAUGCACGUCUCUCGCAUAUUUCUCCAAAUAAACUUUUUACAAAUGAAAUUACGUACGUACCAAACAUGCAUUAUCCUGCAAUAAUUUUUAUGUCGUACGUCCUGUUUGAAAGGCAACCUAAACCUCUCGCGUAGACUUCCAUUGAUACCGCCAAAUUGGAAGAUGUGGACCCUGUCGAGAGAGUGGAGAGUUAACAUGUCGCGUGGAGGAAAUCCUGGUGCUGCAUACGUCGACAAAUGUGAGAUCAAGCAAUAUUUAGGGACAUGCAAAUAGAGUUGAAACUGGUUCGGAUAGUUUCCAUCUGUCCGGACCAUUUUUCGGAUUCGGAUACAUUCGGUCGGAACUAUCCGAAAAUUCUCGGAUUCGGAAACAAAUUCGGAUUUUUUUUCUUGGAAACGAAAAUGAAUACAGUAAGGAUACUAUCCGUCAGAAUCGGAAAACGGUCGGAAACUAUCCGGAAUUUUUUUCGGAUAUCCGCAGACAUUGAGCAAAUUUUAGAAAAAAACACGUAUAUAUACAUAACUUUUUCAUACGGAAUCAGAUGAAGACAAACUUUAUAUCAACAUUGUAGAGAUCAAUGAGAUCUACAACUUUCUUAUUGACUAUUUUAUUAUUUGAGGUCAUUUAAGGGUCUAAAUAUUCAUUAUAAUAUACCAUAUUAAUUUUUACAAAAUUUCAGAUCUACAAUUCAAACGACAUCUGAUGGAGAUGUGUUCCAUAUCAAAGUUGUAGAGCUCAACGGGAUCUACCACUUUGUAGUUUAUAACAUUUGUAUUUGAAAGCAUUUAAAGUAUAAAACAAAUAUUACAAGUUUCGAAGAUGUGAAGUAAAAUAAAUAACAUCUCCAAUAGAAUCCGAGCCUUGAGCCGCGUACGUAGUUUUUGUAUACUCCACUCCACUCGUCCUCCCAAUAGAAUCGAUGCACGUCUCUCGCAUAUUUCUCCAAAUAAACUUUUUACAAAUGAAAUUAUGUACGUACCAAACAUGCAUUAUCCUGCAAUAAUUUUUAUGUCGUACGUCCUGUUUGAAAGGCAACCUAAACCUCUCACGUAGACUUCCAUUGAUACCGCCAAAUUGUAAGAUGUGGACCUUAUCGAGAGAGUGGAGAGUUAACAUGUCGCGUGGAGGAAAUCCUGGUGCUGCAUACGUCGACAAAUGUGAGAUCAAGCAAUAUUUAGGGACAUGCAAAUAGAGUUGAAACUGGUUCAGAUAGUUUCCAUCUGUCCGGACUAUUUUUCGGAUUCAGAUACUUUCGGUCGGAACUAUCCGAAAAUUCUCGGAUUCGGAAACGAAUUGGGAUUUUUUUCUUGGAAAUGAAAACGAAUACAGUAAGGGUACUAUCCGUCGGAAUCGGAAAACGGUCGGAAACUAUCUGGAUUUUUUUUCGGAUAUCCGCAGACAUUGAGCAAAUUUUAGAAAAAAACACGUAUAUAUACAUAACUUUUUCAUACGGAAUCAGAUGAAGACAAACUUUAUAUCAACAUUGUAGAGCUCAAUGAGAUCUACAACUUUCUUAUUGACUAUUUUAUUAUUUGAGGUCAUUUAAGGGUCUAAAUAUUCAUUAUAAUAUAUCAUAUUAAUUUUUACAAAAUUUCAGAUCUACAAUUCAAACGACAUCUGAUGGAGAUGUGUUCCAUAUCAAAGUUGUAGAGCUCAACGGGAUCUACCACUUUGUAGUUUAUAACAUUUGUAUUUGAAAGCAUUUAAAGUAUAAAACAAACAUUACAAGUUUCGAAGAUGUGAAGUAAAAUAAAUAACAUCUCCAAUUUAUACAAUGGUAAGUAUAAGUUAUACAUCUACUAAAAGAUCUUGGGAAUAAAAAAGAUAAUCAUAUUUGCAUAUGGAUCUCUUAGAGGAACAGCCAUGAAAAUCGAUUUUAACGUACGGUUGUGGGACUAUUUACAAAAUUGACGAUAUAAAUGUUAGAGAUGUUGAACUAAAAUAAUAAGCGAUAUCUCUUCCUUAUCAAGAAACUCAAUUUGAGGGGUUUAUUAUAUACCGGUAAAUAUUCGCUACCGUAUUCGGUCCGUCUCGUAUUCGCUCCAUAUCUGUAUUCGAUAAUAUUCGAUUUCAUUUCCGUAUCCGAAUUUUCGAUUCCGAAAAAAAAAAAUGAAAACGAAUAUAAUAAAGCUAGUUUUCGUCCGUUUUCGAUCCGUUUUCAUCCCUACAUGCAAAUAGUAAUAAUUAAGAAUGCAAUUAAUUACUUUAUCCGUCUUAUAAAGAAUUAAUUCCUGACAAUGUUCAUGUUCAGAUUUAGCUACGAGUUGAUAUUUUAUAAAACGAAAAGAGUAGAAAACGGUUAGCCCAUCUCCUGACAACUCAGCAUGUAGUGUAGGGCUUGAGAGAGCCUAGUAGUAGAAGAGAAAUCUCAGGCAUCUAAUUAACUGCAAUUAAUGUUAUUUAUCGAUUUCGUUAGCGUGGAUGAUCUGAGGGUUCCAAUGGCAGAGAUGUCUCAGAUUAAUUAGCAUAAACUGGGAUUAGAGAAAUAACAUUAAUUGCAGUUAGCGUGGAUGAUCUAUAUAGUUAUAUAGGAUUUCUAACUUGCAAAAUAUCCCUGGCAUGUGUGACUUAGCAUCACUCGGUGAUCUUUGAAUAAUGUACAUAUAUCUACUCCUGCUGGACCUAUUUAGGAAAAUGGUAGAAGAUGACCAAGCAGGAAUUCAAUCAAACACGGCCAGACGAAAUCUCAAGGCAAGUCGAAUGCAUCUUAGAUUCAUCAUGAUAGGCCGUGUUUAGUUGUUUGGCCAAAUUUUUUUUACGUGUACGGACACACAUUUAAAGUAUUAAACGUAGACUAAUAACAAAACAAAUUAAAGAUUCUGUCCGUACUGCGAGACGAAUCUAUUAAGCCUAAUUAAUUCGUCAUUAGCAAAUAUUUAAUGUAAAACCACAUUAUCAAAUCAUGGCGUAAUUAGGCUCAAAAGAUUCGUCUCGCAAUUUACAUGCAAACUGUCCAAUUGGUUUUUUCGUCCAUAUUUAAUAUUUCAUGCUUAUGUCUAAAUAUUUGAUGUGACGAAUUUUUUGGAAGUUUGUAGGGAACCAAACACUGCCAUAAUCGUAAGACUUUUCUCUGGUUCUCAAGGAUGCGUCCCUUGAUUUUUUUUCUUUGGGAAAAUUAAUUAUUCGCGUCAACUCAUUUGCUGUAUUUGCAUCCAGCAUCCUAGAGAUAUUGUUCUUUUUGAGGUUAGGUUAGGACUACUGGUAAUAAAUACAGCAUUGGCAUUUGUCGUUUCUGUUGAAAAUUUUCUUAGUGACAGAAAUGGGAACUAGCUAGCUAACUUCUGCAGGGAUAUACUAGUAACUAAUAUAAGUGAAGAAAUUAGGGAGCUGAUAAAUUGAUCAGUUCUGCCACUAAAAAAUACAAGCACAGAUGCUAGUCUACCGCUCCCUUUUUCACAAUGGCAUGCGGUAACUCUGUUUUUACAUAAUAGAAUCAAGAGAAAUUUGCCCCUUUAAAUUGCAGUAAUGAAAAAAAAAGUAGAAAUAAGGAAAAUACAGGGUUCUGACAUAAAUACAAGUGUAGAACAGAUGAUUGUAAAACAUAGAAAUGACCGUUUGAUUGAACCACAUGAAAAACAUAGGAAUUGGAUGAGAGAAGACAGAAAUGAAGUUUUUCAAGAGAUUGGAACUCUUGCUAAGAUUCCUCUAAAAUCUCUAUAGUAUUGUCUAUUGCAUAGGAAUUUCAAAUGAUAAAAUAUGAUUCAUUCUUUCGUUUCAAAGGUUUUCAUAUGAAAAUUUUCUAUAGGAUUGAGACCCUCAAAAUUCCUUUGUUUUUACUUAAAAAUCAAAGGUCCUUAGAGUCCUUAAGAAAGUAUCUCGAUAUCUAAAUUUUACGCUAAACAUUUUGGUACUCGGAGGUACCAGGUUUUAUACCAGAAUCUCUUGAUACUUUAUCAAGAAUGGUAAGAUUACCAUAGAAACAAACUACUGGUCUGAUGGUGGCCUGGCUAUAUGAUUUCUUACUAGGACUGUUCAACAAAUCUAGUUUAGUACGGUAAGAACUCAUUGGAAGACUUUGUCAAGGCCUCAUCAUUCAGUGGUCAGCAAAGAAAACUUCUUUGGAGAACACAUGCUAACCAAUUAAGCACACAAGUAAGCCAUGAAUGGCAGUGAAAAAUCCCAUCCAGAAUUAUUCAGGCAUUUGUCUGGAAAAGUUGCAAACGAAUGACUUCUGCGAAAGGGGAUCGCAUUGUCACCAGAAAAGUGGCUAUCCUGUGCAGUGCAUCUAGCUAUUAAUCCUGCUUAUGAUUGAGGCACGAAACCAUCUAUUCAGAAUUUCCAUGGUUAGUCCUCCGUGUAACAUCAUUCGUUCCAAUUAUCUGAAUCAAAUAAAUCGCGUGAUAACUUACUACUCUCUCCGUUUUGGUUAUAAAAUGUUUUGACUUUUGGUUAAAGUCAAACUCUAUAGUAAUAUUUACAUUACUAAAUUAGUUUUAUUAAAUUAAUAAUUAAAUAUAUUUUUAUAAUAAAUUUAUCUUGGAUCAAAAAAAAUAUUACUAUUUUUUCUAUAAAUUUAGUUAAACUUAAAAUAGUUUGACUUUGACCAAAGCCAAAACAUGUUGAAACCUGAAAUGAAGGGAAUAUAUAUUUUCUUCCUAUACAGUUAUUAGAACUACUAGAUCUCCUGCCCAACAUGUUCUUAUUCUUUUACCUCCAGCCAAGAAGAUAUCAUAUCAGCAUCUGAAUUAUCACCAAUUUAGUUCUAGAUGCAUGGUUUGAUGAAGACCGACAUGGCAACAGGACAAUGCAUGCAAGCCCUUCCCAUGGAAGUAUGGAACAGUUGGUGUGCAUAUGAUCAAUGCAGGUGUAAACGCAAAAAACCAGGAAUGCAUCAUGCAUGCAUGUUCAAAGGGACAAACAUUGCGUAGCCAAAGACUGCCUAAGCAACUAGGGGAAUCUGUUUGAACUCGCAUCGCAGUCUGCUCCCGACCACGGAAAACAUUUUUCAAAGUGGACCAUUUGGGGUGGCAAACUUAUACUUCUUUUUUUCUCUGUAGAAUUUGCAAACUACUUUUCCAGACCAGCUAACUUUGCUGGGCUCUAUGGAUCGACUAUGGAUCCUGCAGCAUUGAUCACUUUGUCACGAGUCAUGACACCUCCGUUUAUGCUCCAACACUAUAAAUACGUCGGGUAGCUCACCCUUUCACCUGCAACUCUGCAAUAGCUAGCUUGCAACCUCGCAUUCUCGCUUCAGGACCUUUGCUCUCUGACAAACCUAAGCUCGAUCAUGCCUGUCAAUAUGAUCUCCAAGUACGGCAUACAUGUUGCAUAUAUUUGAUCGAUGCAUAUGAACAGUAGCAGUAUAUAGCCUGUAGUGAUUUCAAGUCAUUUCAGUUAGUCUUUCCCUGAAUUUGUUUGAUUCCUGCAUCUGUAGGUUACUUGAGAAGGCUGUUCUUCCAGCACUGGAUGUUGCACCUCCUGUAAAAAUAGGAGGUAGAUUUAUCAUACUAUGGUUCUUCUUAAUUUGUUGUUUGUAGCAUUCUUGCCAUCUCAUGGCACGUUUAACUUACUUUUGCAUGCGUGUUACUACUACAAAAUUCAGGGCCUCGGCGUACGAGCGUGCUGCGCAAUCCAAACAUGGAGAAGCUUCAGAAGGGGUACUUAUUCCCAGAGGUACAGAAUUAAUCACGAUUUCACCAACCUUAGUUUGAGCAUAUGAUUCUCCAGACACUUGAUGAUAAAUUGAUAAUAUACGUUAAUUUGUGCUCCUCGUUUUGAUGGUUUAGAUUAGCAUCAAACGUGAGGAACACCUGAAGAAGUACCCAGAUGCGAAGGUGAUAAGUUUGGGUAUCGGCGACACAACUGAACCCAUACCAAGCAUCGUAACAUCAGCUAUGGCUGAGGUAUUUAUUUACUCUACUUCUGUAGUUCUGUUUUCUCUCUUGCAUUGGAGCAUGCAUGCAUGUUUUUCCUUUUCUGAAAAAGGAGAAGCAUGUGUAAAAAUGUUUAACCAAGGAAAGCUACAUGAGGAAUCUCAAGCAACAAAUAGCUGGUCAUCUGGUUCUUAAUGGCGUAGCUAGCUAGAUGGCACUGUGGUCUAUGGACCACCUAAAAAUUUGAUCAAGAUUAAAACUAUAAUAUAUGUGCUAGUUAUUAAUAUAAUAAAAAUUGUAUAGUGGACCACCCAUUUAAUUGGCCUAUUACAUAUAGAUGGAUCACCUUUACUUUAAAUCCUAGCUACGCCACUCUUGGUUCUUGUCAUAGCACGAAUUAAGAAUUUAACAUUUGGACACAUGGUUGUUCUAUGUUUUCCCGUGGAUCAUCUUUACUCUAAAUACUAGCUACGUCAUUAUUGGUUCUUGUCAUAGCACGAAUUAAGAAUUUGACAUUUGGACACAUGGUUGUUCUAUGUUUUCCCGUCCAUCAACAUUAACCUUUUGUUGUUGUUGUUCACCAAUGCAAAGAUUCUCUACAAUCGAUCUGCUAGCUGCAACAGCAUUUUGUUAAACUGAGCACGAAUACUAAAGCAAAGCAUACCAUUUUGUGGACCUCUGCUUAGUACACCUUUCUUUUAAUAAGUACACCUUAUUAAUAUAAUAAUUAUUGUUUUAAACAAGAGUGAAGUCCACUCUUGGAUUAUGAAUCGUUUUUAAAAUAUUUAUCUUUUAAAUAUGGUGACUACAUGUACAGAUUAGUCUUAAAAAAUAUUUUAAUAAAAUAAUAUAUUUGUUAACACUUUUAUACAAAUUAUAAUGAAAAAUAAUGGUCAAAAUUAUUUUUUCAGAGACCGUGCUCUUAUCCAAACUGACAAGUAUUAUCAACCCGUAUGGAGUAUACAAAUGUAGCAAAAUGGUUAUACGUAGUGGGGCGAACUAGGGUUAAAAACCAGCCUAAUAUUAACUACUUUGUUUAAUAUUAUAUUUUUUUGUCUUAAAAUAAAUGUGCACCGAUGAGAUGGGUGCAAAUUUGCAUUAACCUAAAAUUAAGUGAAUAAAAUAAAUUACUUGGCCCAACCAAUAUUCAGUCUGUUAGCCUUCAUUUUGAUUUAUUUUUAUGACGCUACAUGCUUGCUCCACCUUUUAUAUGAGCCAACGUACUGGUCUGAAAAUUCUUAAGCUUUUUACAAAAGAGAAGCACUCAAGCAAGGGCUCACUUGCGAAGAACUGCACAAGAGGUUUCGUCCUAAAUAUAGAAGAGGAUUACGUUGUAAUAUCUCCGUCCCAUAAAAAUUGUAUUUCUAGCUCCAAGGCUUUGUCCCACAAAAAUUGUAUUUCUAGCCAUGUGGGGCCCAACCAAUUGAUUCAUCUAUAUAAGUUUCCUUCCAUCCCACAUAAUUUGGGCUGCUAAUGCUUGUAAUUUUAUUAAGUAUGCUAAUUAUAUGGGUUAAUUCUCUCAAACUUCCUUUUAAUCAUUUGUAUAUAUGGAAUAUGUGCAUGCAGUGGGUUCAUUAAAUAAGGUUAUUGUGGUCAUUUUUCAAUCCUACUAUUUUGUCCUAAAUUAGCUAGAAAUGCAAUUUUUAUAGGACGGAGGUAGUACUAAACUACUACUAAUAUAUAUUUUUUUUCAAGGAAGUGUCAAGAUUCUUCUUCUCCAUCACUUGGAAAUUUAGCUGUACCUGUCCUUUUGACUUGUCACACUCUUAUCUCAUGCCAAAUUUGUUCACUUUUUCUACCAAAAAAACACAAACUUUGCACUCUCUAUCAACCCCUUUUUCUCUUGUCAGAACCAAGAUACCCUGAUGUCACUGCAGAGACAUCACCUCAUCCACAUCAUGCAUGCCUUCCAGUUCUCCCUCUUUUCCUCAUAUACUGCCAUAAUCUCCUGCAAUUUUAGUGCAAGUGCCAAACUGCUAAUGGGAAGAUGACAAGGAGAUUAGGAGAAGAGCACUAUCAUAUCUAAUUAUUCCAUGAUCUGUACUACGUCCACUGCAUGUGCAUGGCUGCUGCUGAUUUAACUAAAUAUGUAGUGAGCUAGCUUUGGAGAAAGAUUUGUUGUAGACUAGUAUCGCAUUUGUGGAUUGACUUGCAAUUGGUGGUCAAUUAAUCCUAAUAUACAACCUAAGUGCUUUCAGAUCACUGGCUGUGACACCGGCGGUUUUCUGCUCGUGAUGCUGUUGACAUGACAAAAUGGAAAAUACAAUCCGAUGAUUGCGACUAAGGAAAAUUUUAAGCUUACUUGACUUAGGGUGGGCCUAUAGGGUAUUGGUUUAUUCCUGGAGUUAACCAAUCCUAGCCCAAAAGAAUUUAUCAGAAGAAAGCCUAAAAAGUUCAGAUUUUUUUCAGAUACAAUUUACUUGAAUAUAUUUUUCUCUUAAAUAGGAUGUUCCAUUUCCAUUUUGUAGAGUAAGAAACAUUUUAUCCUAUUUUUUGCAGUAUGCUCUUGCAUUGUCAACUCCUGAAGGAUACCAAGGUUAUGGACCAGAACAAGGCCACAAGGUAAUACAAAACACUGAAAACCCCCAACUCUGAAGAAAUCUAGGUAGAACAUGGUUUAUCAUCCUUGUUUUGAAGAACAGGUUUUCAUCCUGUUUGCAAAGAAAAUACUACAGAGAUUUCAAAGAGAUAUAACUAUGACAUUUCACUAACACAAGAUAUAUAUGCUCUUUGAAAUGCAUGUGCAGAAUCUGAGGAAGGAAAUUGCUGACAAGGUGUACCCUGACAUGGGGAUAAAAGAGAGUGAAGUUUUCAUUUCAGACGGAGCACAGUGUGACAUUGCUCGUCUUCAGGUAUUGCAAGUUAUUUCGCGUGCUUUCCUACUUACCAACUGAUCAAAUUCACUUAAUAUUCUGAGAUGUGAAAUGAUACAAAUCUCAUCUUUCAUCUUCCUUAUCUAAAAAAAAAAAUCUCACCAUUCUUUCUCCUGGAUUCAGACGCUGUUCGGUCCAAACGUCACCAUUGCCGUCCAAGAUCCCACAUUUCCGGUAUAAUAACAAACCUAUCCAUUAAUUACCUGUGUCUAAUUGCGAAUAAAUAAAUAAAGUAGUAGGAUUAUAUGCGUAAUAAGUAAACCAUUCGUGCAGGGGUACGUGGACAAUGGCGUGAUCAUGGGGCAGACCGGCAAGGCGGACGACGGCGGCAGGUACGCCGGCAUCGAGUACAUGCGGUGCGCGCCGGAGAACGCCUUCUUCCCGGACCUGUCGCGGGUGCGGCGGACCGACGUGAUCUUCUUCUGCUCGCCCAACAAUCCGACGGGGCACGCGGCGUCGAGGGAGCAGCUCCGGCAGCUGGUGGAGCUCGCGCGGCGGAACGGCUCCAUCAUCGUCUUCGACUCCGCCUACUCGUCCUACAUCUCCUCCUCCUCGUCGUCCUCCACGCCGAGGUCCAUCUACGAGAUCCCCGGCGCGAGGGAGGUGGCGAUCGAGGUGUCGUCCUUCUCCAAGUUCGCCGGGUUCACGGGCGUCCGGCUGGGGUGGGCUGUGGUGCCCGACGAGCUGCUCUACUCCGACGGGGUCCCCGUGGCGCGGGACUUCGACCGCGUGGUGUGCACGUGCUUCAACGGCGCGUCGGGCAUCGCGCAGGCGGGCGGGGUGGCGUGCCUGUCGACGGAGGAAGGCCGCGGCGCAGUGGCGCGGGUGGUCGGGGUGUACAGGGAGAACGCGCGGGUGCUGGUGGAGACGUUCAGGUCGCUGGGGAAGGAGGUGCACGGCGGCGGCGACGCGCCGUACGUGUGGGUGAGGUUCCCGGGGCGGCGGUCGUGGGACGUGUUCGCGGAGAUCCUGGAGAAGACGCACGUCAUCACCGUGCCUGGCAGCGGGUUCGGCCCCGGCGGCGAGGGCUUCAUCAGGGUCAGCGCCUUCAACAGCAGGGACAAGGUCCUCGAAGCGUGCCAACGCCUCAAAAGCUUCCUCGCAUGAUGACAUUUUCUUCAGUUAUACAUGUACUACUACAUACAUACAUACAUACUCACUCCAGACUCGUAAAGAAAGUCGUUUAGGACAAUAUUUAAGUCAAACCUUAGGAAUAUAAAUCAUGAAUAACUCUCAAUUUGUUGAGUUUGAAAAUGUAAAAAUUAUAUGAAUAGAUUUGUCUUGAAAAAUACUUUUAUAAAAGCAUACAUAUAUCACUUUUUAAUAAAUAUUUUUAUAGAAACAAGAAGUCAAAGUUAUGUUUUAUAGACCGUGUCGCUGUCCUAAACGACUUCCUUUACGAGUCUGAAGGGAGUACGUAAUAGCUUUGCGGUGAGCUGACAUUUAUACCGUCUCUGACCGGCCAAGUCAUGAAGUCAAAAGUAAUGCAGGUGUUAUGUAUCAAUCAAAAAUACAUGUAAGAUCAUAGCUCAAUUUGGAAUAAUACAAAGUGAUUUCAGGUAUCUAACCUGUCCAUUGCAAUGACUAAACCAGCUGCUGUCCAUUGCAAUUUCGUUUUGUUCAUGUCUGUACUUAAGAUUGGAACAGAGAAACUCAAAUGAUUUUAGCAAGCGCAACGCAAUAAGGGUACUGUGAUUCUUUCUGAGCCAUGAUCUGUCCUCAAGACCAUUGAAGAUUGUUUUCAUUGGACAUCGGAAGAUCCUAUUUUGGCUCGAAUCACAGCACUUAGCCAAAAAUUAACUUACUCAAGUACACAUUUAAAAGUGCUGGACAGCUCCAAAUGUUCCCUUCUGACGCCAUUUGUUACUCAUCACUUUCACUUUCCUCCUCACUUUCGUCAUCUUGGUUAAAGUUCAGGUGGUUCAGGUUUUCCUCUAGAGGUGGCAAGCCAUCGUCGGAGUCAGCGUCAGAUCCUUCCUCUGUGCUUUGGUGUGAUUUCUCUGCCGCUAUGACGCGGAAAUAUUGAGGGUCAAUAUUUGCACUCUAAAAAUGGUUAGCUUAUGGCAAAAAUAGCUGAGAUGUAAUUAUUACCGUUUACAGGUGACUUUGGAACAUUAGAGUUACUUGACAACCAAGAAUUCUGCACAUUGAUUAUCUCGGUGCCAUUUUCACACUGCGAGUAUGCUUUGAGCAGCUCUCUGCACAUCAUAACAACAAAAGGGUGCGAAAACAUCUGGUGACACAAAUCUAAAAUAAAUAUGCAGUACAUAGUAUCCAGUCUUCAUAAACAUAAUGCAGUAACAGAGAAAGUUGCAAUCAUUUGACCAUCAUAUUCAGAAAUCCUUGGGUACCAUGGGUUCUUAGCAUGAUUCAGUGUACAUUGUCGUCUGAAAUUUGCUGGAUAAAGGUAACAACACCGAUACAAUAUAAUAUGCAGGAUAGCUUAUUUUGUCCUGUCAUCACCCCAGAUUAGGCCAGUAAUUAGCAUGUUGAAAUUUGAAAUGUAAACUAAUAUGCUUCAAUCUACUUAAUUGCUGUGUGCAGGUGCUGGGUUUGCAGAAAAGUAGUAUAUUAUAUAUGAAUAUGCACUCCCUUGAUCAUAAACAGAUACUGUGUGUCCAAAAUGCACUGCCAGUCUAUGCAUGACAAUAAAAUAUUUCUCUGAACUAACCUGUUAACUGACAAGAACGAGUGACCCCACUUGAAUUUCCCAAGCAACAGAUGCGCUGUCUCUUCCUCCCCACUGCAAAUAUGUAUGUACCACAAGGUAAUGCCUAAGUAUUAAGUAACUAUCCCUCCGUUCAUUUUUGAAAGGCACAAAUUACUUGGUACAGUCUUUCAAACUGAGCUUUCCCCAUAAUCUAUUGCAUUACUAUUAUUAAUCAGAAAUUCAUGACCAUAUGUAAGUACAUUGAUGUACAAAUCUAGUGGCAUCAUCCUUAUAUCACUAAACCUAUAAUUAGCAUAAUUGUUGACCAAAACAAAGUUUGAAUCUUGAAAUAUGUGUGUGCCUUACAAACUUGAACAAAGGGAGUAAUAUCCUGAGCUACAAAUUCACAUCAAGAAGUUUAGCAUGGUAGAAGGAUUAAAUGCUCUAAGUUAGUUAAACUUGAAAUGCCAAACAGCAACACUGCUACAGAAAAAUGCGUAAAUGACGGCAUACACCUAUAAAACAGACCAAUAUCAUGAACAGCUGCGAUGAAUCCAGAAACUAAACUAACUAUAUGGUCCAAAAGUUUAAAUUAAUAGCUCAGUUUAAUUGUAAGGAAAGGCUGGAGAUUUACCAUAUUAUGAGGGCUGCUGAUAAAGCUUCCACACAAGACAAUUCACAUGGACGACCAUAAUUGACAGGGUUUGCCGCAACCAACCAUGGCACUGCAAUCAAGAAGUAAACCCUUAUGAGAAGGACAGACUCUCUUAGGAAACAGUGAGCAAAAAUAUCAGUACAAAAAUAACCCUUACUACUACUACUAAUAAUAAUAUAAUAAUAAAAGAGCGCAAAGUUACAUUACAAAUUCAAGAGAAGGUAGUCCAAAAGUCACAGGAAAAUGACAACUUUAGAAAUAAUAACUGUUAUAAGAUUACAUGAUUUGUUAUGGAAUCAUUUUGGUACGCUUCUAGAGUUCUGGAUUUAGCGCAGAAAAGGUAGGAAUGAUCCCAGCAACUACAAUCGGCUCAUUGAAGUUACUCGAAUAUGAUGGUCUUACAGAGACGAGGAGCGCCACAACGGAGUUUCACAAAAGGGACAUCACUUAAUCGCGCCCACGAACAAUCAACAACAGCAAGUCCUUUUCUUUGCACGAUAUGACGAUCUUCCUUGGAAACACACUGUGUUCCAACAGGGCUGAAAGAAGAUAACAAGCAUGUAGUAACAUCUGUAUCCCAAACAACAAUUACUUAAGCAAAGUAUGUUUUCAAAAAGUAAUGUUUUGCGGCAUAUAGAAGUACCUGAGAACAACACCACCAAAACCAUUGGUCACUCGCAACUCCUGCAAGACAAAUAACAUUUUCUUUAACAACAGCUCUACCUUCCAUAGAUGAUGCAGUGCUGGUCUUUGCCAAAAAGUAUGCAUGGCGACAAAGAGAAACAAAGUUUACCAGCAGUCUGACUAGAAUAAGAUCGAUGAAAUCAGAUGGUUAUGGCUCGACAUCCAUGUGCAUGCAGUGUUUGUGGUUUCUCUUUAUUGUUGAUUUUAGCACAUGAUUUUUGGGGAAACAUGGUUCGGAUGUUGUGAACCAAAAGAGGCCAUACCUUUAAUAGCCCAAAUCUUGAAAGCUUACGACCAGUGCAUCUUUUAACAUCACAUUGGCCAAAGUCCUAUACAAAAACACAAGAGUUCACCCACAAUGUAAGUGACUACUCCAUAAGAUCAAAUGCAAAAAGAAUGCAGUGGUUGCACCUACCCACAUAGCAAGCUGAAUUUUUGGACCUUUUGGUUCUUCUUCAGUGUCUAAUGGAUAGAAAAUCAAAAUGACAGUAUUAGUAAGCUUUCAGUUGGAGCAACAAUGUAACUAAUUCAAGCAUAUGCAGCCUGCGAAAUAACUAUAGUCCUGACUGUCCUCUUUAACAGCAAAGUUUCACAUUAAAUAGCAAAAAUUGAAAUACUUGAAAUGCGAUGCAUAUUCUCAUGCAAAUGCAUCACAAUAGCAUACGGUAAUUAACCAUCUCAAUCAAUUCAUCAUAUGUCGAAAGCACAAACUAUUCAUAAAUAGCCAAAAAAAUCCGUGCCUUCCUGCCUUGGAAGUGAUGUCCCGGGACCAUCAUCCCUGAAAUUAAAGAGUAAAAAGAGGGGAAUUUAGUCUUAUUUGUUAGUACUAGUAUUAAAAUAACCCUCUUUUUUGCGGUGGUGUUACAAUAAUCCGAACUUGCGUGUUAUAAGAGGGACUUGUGACUUCAACAGAAGCACAUUUUAUUACAUUUUGUUCUACCUCUGCAGACUGCAGUAGGAACUAAGAACAUAACAGCAGCAAGGAAAUGGUUUCGCAGUAGAAAAUCAAAAUAUAAAUAAUUCACGAAAACCCUUGAUUGUUUAUAGGCAGAUAACUCGAUUGCAAAAACCCUUGAUUGUUCAUAGGCAAAUAAUACGAAUCAAAGACCUCAAAUUUGUUUGAUGUCCCACGAACAUGAUCUUAAUAUACUUAUAUACACAUGUAAAAUCUAGCACAAUCAGACAAACAAAGAGUCCGGGAGUUCACCCUAUUCCAAAGCCCUAGGCCGUAGACAAGCAACAGCAGGAAUCAAAAAUCUUUGAAAGCCCUCCAAAGGGAGAGGGUUUUGGACGGAAACAUAAUUCGGCGGUAGAUAGCAAAUCGCGCGCUAUAAUUACCACGCGGCUUCCUGCUUGGUGCGGCGCGACGACGAGGAGGAGGAGGAUCCACGGCCGCGUCUCCGGUUGUAUCCCAUCGCGAAGCUCGCCGGCGACGGCAGAGGUGUAGAUGGAGGACCGUCGUCGGCCUCGUGGUUCACCGGCGCCCCGCCUCACCCCGGACAGGACAGGAUGAACCCCUAUCGACUGCGCACAAGUGUUCGCCGGAGAUCGACGGAGAUGCCGCCGCCGCCGCCGCCGCCGCCGCGAUGCCUCGUGCUCUUGCGGGAAUUCGGUUCGGGUGGGGGAUGCAGGGAGGAGUGAGUGGGCUGUGGGCUUGUGCGGCAUGUAAUAGCGGGAGUGGGCCGUAAUAACUGUGGGCUAGUGGGUGGGCCGGCCCAUCACACAGUCAUACUACAGCGGCGAAUGACGGGAGGAACGAACACCUGCGUUACACGAGGCACGCACGACUGAGCCGUGCCACUGCAUGUGGGACCAUGUGGUCGGUGAGAUAACUGGCUACAAAUACCCAACUAAUACUCCCUCCGUUUCGAAAUGUUUGACACCGUUGAUUUUUUAGCACAUGUUACAUGUUUGACCGUUCGUCUUAUUCAAAAACUUUUGUGAAAUAUAUAAAAUUAUAUGCCUACAUAAAAAUAUAUUUAACAAUGAAUCAAAUAAUAGGAAACGAAUUAAUAAUUACUUAAAUUUUUUUGAAUAAGACGAACGGUCAAACAUGUGCUAAAAAGUCAACGGUGUAAACAUUUCGAAACGGAGGGAGUAUAUAAUGAUCCCUCCGUUCCAAACAAUAAGGCGUUCUGAAGAAAAAUAAAUAUUCACAGGUUUUGCCUAGUAAUUAAACUUCUAAUAUAGUAAUAUAUACUAUUUGAAGGUAUUUUCAUAUGAUAUUAUUUUUAUAGUUGUCAUUCCAGUGGAAAAUCUACACCAAAACCAACUAGAAAAUUUCGCCACAAAUCUGGUGGCAGUACUUACUCCUACCAUGUACACGAAAUCUAACUCUUGUUUAGGUGUAGAGCCAGAAAUCUAGCUCUUUUGGGGACGGGAGGUGUACCAUGCUAGUGUGUUGGACAAAUGAAUUUUGCAGCAUAGUAGCUCGGAUUUUGCCAAAACGCACAAACUCGAGUACAAAUUAAUUAUACAAACUCGAUUAAUAUAAUAAUAUUACACAAUCAUCAGUUCCAACACUUAAAACCUGGCAUUUGCUCUUCACAAAUGCAUCCGAUACAUCACAAACCUACAGCUAUAGUGGGGAAUUUAGACGAACUCGGCAUACUAAGUUCAGACAGACACAGUUCGUCUUCCCCCAACAGUUGCACGUCGCACAAUCCAUGAAGCACCACACUACAGCUGAAGCUGCAUCAUCGUGCAGCACUAGCACACAACACAAUCCUUUUGUAGCGUACCACGAAGCACUAGUGUCUCUCUUUAUUCAACCACCGGAGAGACCAUGCACACGGUGGAUUCGAUUCAGCAGCAUUCCAGGGCGUUUCCCGCCUUGUUUGCCAGGCAAGCUUCCACGGCUUCGCCCACCGUGAGGAAGAACCAUCCUUCUCCGAUUCCGUCGACGAGCCGUGCCAGUUUCAUCUUGUGGAUCACCUGCCAUCCAGGCUUGGCUAUAGCCAUCUGCAAGUGGGGUUGUUUUUCAGGACAAGGGCGAGAGCAUUUCACCACAGCAUCGGCCAGCUUUUCGGAGGAAAAUAUGCAGUGCAAACUCUAUACAUAUGUUGGAAACCUGAGCAUGUUGGUAACGCUCACCUGGAUGCCGAGACACGCCAGCUCCUUGUGCAGUUCUUCCAGCGCCACAAGACCUGAAGUAUCCAUGUUUACCACAUCUGCAAGAUAGGAACUCACAUGUCAGGAUAAUGCUAGGUAGAGAUCACUCUGACAAUAGCCAACUUGUGUAAAUUUCAUAUACUUGACAUGUCAAGAACGACCGAGCAAAAUGCCUCGCGCUCAUCGGUUACCCAUCCCAUGAUCCUGGAAACAGGGAAAAGUGAAUUAAUACCGAGUCAUCCAGCAUUCAGGUAUUCCCUUUUGUGAUCCCAAUUGCUUGUGAUUAGUGUCUGUACUUUUCUUUGAUGGAACUGGAGUUGACGAAGCAAAGGAAUGAUGUUUCAAUGCGUACGGUCAGUACAGUCGGUGUUUCGUGAACCACUGGAUACUGCUUGACGUUACAGAAGAUUUCUGUGCCCUGAAGCCUCCCAAGAAUCUCUACUUGAGGCCAAAUCGACUGUAUAAUGAUCUUUGCAAAGGAAACAAGAAGCUGCAAGAAGAGCUCCACCAAAUCAGAAUUGCAUAAGCAUGCAUGCAAGAAAUGAAACUUCAACAUACUUCUGAUGAAUCAAAAUGAAAAAAAAAAUACAGUAGUAAACUUCAGAUCAAAUGAGGGAUCAGUACUGCAACUGAAAGACCAAUCUCCACUGAUCCGAAUAGAACACCAAGGAAUGAUCCCAUGCAUGUGAGGAAGUCCAUCUUGUCGACUUUCCACAGGAAGCAGACUUCCUGCACAUUGAUCAAUCCUGGAAGAGCUGACAGAAUGAUUGAUGCAAGGAUGGACACAGGUGUGUAGUACAGGAGCUUUGUGAGAAGCUCCAAGGCAACCAUCACAGUGGCAGCCAUGAUAAUGUUUGAAACGGUUGUCUUGCAACCAGCAGCGAAGUUCACAGCUGUGCGCGAGAAUGAACCUGCAGAUAAUUACCAAAGUAAAGUUUGAUGGUUGAACGAAUCUAGGAAUGUACAUACGAUCUGCAGAUUUUUUAUUCACCUGUUGCUACAUAGCAUGAUGAUAAGGAUCCUGCUAUAUUCAUGAAGCCCAUUGCUACCAUUUCCUUAUUUCCGUCCAACCGAUAUCCAUUGAUCGCUGAAAAAGAGCGGCCAACAGCAACAGCUUCCUGUCAUAAACAACACAGACCAGAAUAGUUUUCUGAAACUCAGUUUUCAUAUGGACCUCCUAUUGAGUGAUUCUGAAAUGCUUAGUGAGUUUCUACUAAUAGCUGUCUGAACUCUGAAUACUCCUUUAGGCUAGACUUAUUUAUACUUUUAAUAAUUUCUGCAGAAGUUCAUUUAAGCUUAUGCCUACUCACUUUUUUUUGUUUAAAAUGAGUAGUUCACUUCAUAGCUUUAUAUAAAAUAAAAAUAGUGGAGGAGUCAAUUUUCUCUAAUUAAUGCCUGAUGAGAUUUUAGGCCGCACACGUUUCUGUUUGUAAAAGUAUAUACGCACUACUCUCUUGACAAAUACGCUGCAGCACUAGGAGUAUAGGAGUAAGUCACAUUAUUUCUUUUGAAGUGCAUUAUUUUUAGCAAGGAAGCAAAGUUUUGAUACAACAACCUGAGUCUAAUUUGUACAAAAGGCCUAAUAAAUUAUAAGAAUGAAGAAACAACAGGAUUAUCUUCUUCUUCUUCUCGUUUUACAGGGAGAGGAGCAGGAGUGCAGGACUAUCUUUGAAGGGUAAACACGUACCGUCAGAGCAAUCACAGCACAAACAAGAGCAAUCUUUGCACAUUCGGCAGCAUAGCCUCCUUUGAGAUCUAUCUGCUCGACAGAACUUGCAUUAAUACCUGAAUUCACUUUUUGUAUAAUCUUCACGCCGUGCUUAUCCGCUCUUGUCGCAUAGACAAACAGAGUAGAUAGUGCAACUGAUAGUACAGGUGCAAUGGCAGAGACCCAAAAGAGUUUCUUGUACUUCCUUCCCUGAAAGUAUUCGUUCUCCAAGAUCAAGAUCAAGAUCGAGAGAGAGAGAGAGAGAGAGAGAGAGAGAGAGAGAGAGAGAGAGAGAGAGAGAGAGAGAUCUUACAAUGAAUCUCAUGGCAAGAAUGAACAUGAAAAAGGAACAUCCAAUGAAGACGUUCUCCGGAUGCCACUGUCGUUACAUGCCAGAUAUAAAAUUGCAUACAAAGGCAGCUCAAAUAUAAGGAUUAAUGGGGCAAAAGCACGCUUAGGUAACAUCCUGACAAGUGAGAACUAAAGUUACAAUUACUUAUAUAUAGUAUAUACUCAUGAUUGCUUUGUUACAAAAUCUGUAGAGAAUAAAUUUGCAAGGCUAUAGUAAGUGUACUGGCUAAGUAUAUGUCUAAAGAAUUGUAGUUUUAUGCAUGCAUCAGCACUUCUCUCCUCAUGAUUACUGAAAACCUCAGCAACUGAAGAAGCAAUUAGCUCAUACUAUUAAGUAGUAAGAAAUACUAAGAACUAUACUGAUGAGCUAGCAGUUUUUUUGCUGUUGUCAUGCAUGCUGAAUUGAGUAGCUAAUUUCAUUCAUACAGCUUUAUCUCUUUUUGUGUCGAAGGGAACUUGUACCUAUUUUUUGGCUUGAUACUUUGGACUAGUUAAUUUCAUAUGUGUUAAAGCUUAUAAUUUUAAUAUUUUGUUUUAGUGAUCAUAUUAUGUGUUAUCAUAACUUCCAGGCAUAUGCCUGCGCAUGCACAGGUUCAGAUUGAAUAUAAGGGCAAAUACUUACUGUUUCGUGAACUGAAACCCAGACUGCCUUGGUGACAGAGACGACAUCAGUUCUAUUUGUAAAAUGACUAAGUCCAAGCAGCCCCUUCAGCUGCUGUAAUCCAAUCACAAUAGCAGCUCCUCCCAUGAACCCGACGAUAGCAGCAUGUGAUAGAAAAUCCACAAGAAAUCCCAGUCUACAAGAAUCAAUGCAAAAGUCAGUUAGGGAAUGUAAGUAAGCGCAUUUUGAUCAAAAGACGGCAGAGACACUACCUGAACAGACCAAAUGCAAACUGAAAGACACCAGUAAGGAAUGUCACGGUAAAGACCAUUUUUCGGUAGAACGCUGGAUCAACAGAUGGGUCAACUAUCUUCUGAAUCAUUGAUGAAAGCAAUAAUGACACAAUGGCAACUGGUCCAAUGGCUAUCUCCCUAGAGGACCCCGUCACAGCAUAUACAAGAGGUGGCACAACACUUGUAUCUUACCACAAAAUAAAACCAUAUGUCAAAAGAACAUUUAGAACACAUAAAACCAAGUUAAAUCUGCAAUGACUUACAAAGACCAUACUGAGGAUCCAGUUUUGCCAGAGUUGCAUAUCCAAUGCUCUAUAAUAACAGGACAAUAAAACAAGUCAGAAAUAUCUGAAUAAUCUAGGCGAAUUCCAACCUUCUAAGUAAAGAAGUCAGUCACUACUGACGACUUGAGGAAAUGCAUCAAGGAAUUGAUAGAGAAAUCCCAGGAGUUUGCUCGAUUCAGACAAGAUUCAUACACAAUUUGUGCAUAUAUGAUAACAAUAGUUCCAGUCAUCUCAAAAAACAAACAAUUACCUGUGGAAUGCUAAGGCUUGCAAGAGUUAGGCCAGCCAUGAGGUCACUUCGAAAGAAUUUCAGAUUGUAGGUUUUCCACCAGUCAAGUAUUGGAAACAGACCCUGUAGAACAGACAUCACAUACACAGACAGUGUGAAGCGCUUGUCUGCACCUUGCCAACGGAAUGCCUUCCUGAACAUGCCGGUGAGAUCAUUCCACAGGCUUGGGUGCUCUGGCCCUUGCAGCAGCAAGUCUGCAAAAGCUGUCCCUAUGGGCACAGAUGACUCACUUGCCAUGGGCUCCAUGGCUGGUUCUGAAGUGUUUGGGUGAACUCCCUGAGGAAAUGGCUGAAAUUCCAUCACAAUGUAUCGGUGCCUCCAAGAUUGGUGAGCUGUGAGGAUGGCAAGUCCAUGUGAACCUUAGGUGCUUCAGGUGAAUUUGAUUGCUCUAAGGUGGCCAUACAAGGUGCCAUUUAUAGUGCUAUGGUUUAUGCUGCCACCUAUUGAAGAGUGAAGGCAACACAUCCUAAAGGGCAUGUGCCUGCUGUUCUAAGGUCAUAUUCAGUUUGCAAAAAUGAAGCUCCUUUCAUUCCGAUAAUUGAAUUGAUAAUGAUGAGUUUUCUUUGGCUAUGCAAGUGUGCUUCUACUAGCCUAAUGAUCGUGACUGCUUUGCAAAGUUUUUUUUUUUCUGACAGAAACGAAUGAUCCAAUCCCUGGUUUGUUCUCCUCUUGUACUUUCCAGUAGUCCUGCAGUUAAUUACUUGGGGUUUGUUAUAUGAACUUUACACUCAAGACUUUGGAUAGAUAUCCAUGCUAUAAACCUCUAGCAGUGCAUUUGCAGAACAAUAAGCGGGCCCAAAUUCCUUUUUAUGAAUGUUUAUUCAUGAUUUGGUAUUUAGGCUAAGGGCAAAACUGCUCAAGUAACAAUUGUUAAAUGUUGUGAAUAAAGGGCACAUCAUGUUUGCUUAGAGUAACUUAACUGGUCCAUUCUCAUCUCACUGAAACUUGGACCUUUCACCUUUGCUUCUAGAAAAGCAACUUGUAUGAAUGCAUAAAAAUUAUUCUGGUGCAUUAUUGUUUGUGAUGGACCAUGCUGGAGCUGCUCACAGCAACAUUGCCCACAGAGGUCAGAACUUGAACUGUUAGUCCAAGUAGUGAGAAUUGUCAUGCCAACCUUCUCCAAGGGAGAAGCAGGCAGCACUUGAAAAUGUUUUAAAAUCCAAGGAGAGAAUUCUCUAGUACAAGCUAGUUAAACUUAAAUAGUUAAAUUGGCUGUCUGGCUGAUUGCGUUGUGUAACAAAAACUUUUUUGCUUUCUUCUAAUAUAUUGACGUGCAAUCCUUUUGCGUGUUCGCGAAAAUAGUUAAACUUAAAUAGAAUGAGAUUAAUUAUUCACUAAAAUAGCAUGUGCAACUUUCUGAUUAGUGGGCUAAAACAAUAGAUCACCCUAGCACUCUUUUUAGGGAAUACGCAAAGGCUUGCACAUCUUUGUAUCAAGGAGAUAGUUCAACAUCCGGCCGUGCUAACUAGCAGGCCACAGAAAAAUUACAUGGGUUUCUCCCAACAACUUUUGCGACCUAACAGAGCUACCGCGCUCAAACUACCAGUUGGGGCAGUUUGAUCCCUGCAGUGACCCCAGGGCCGCGCUUCUUCGGCAAUAGAGUUGAUUAGUUGCACCCAGUUUCGGGAUUUGAUAUUGAGGACCCGAUUGUUGCACUCUUUCCAUAGAACCCAAGCCACUAGGAUCACUAUGGAAUCAAAACCUCUUUGUAGUUUCUGGUUGAAGCCUUUCCUCCAAGCAUUCUGUAAGGCUACAAUAAUCUGGGUUCUGGAUUAGCAAUAAAGAUGUCCUGGGCUACUUCCCUUAUUGGGGUGCAUGCACCAGUUGUUUCACUCAAAAUCUUCUUAGCUUGAUGGAGAAAAGUAGACAAUUCACUUAUACGAGAAAGGGUAGACAAUUCACUUAUACUUCAAUACUCUCCCUCAUGUCUAGGUCCCUUUGGCUUCAGAUGUUGAAUAUAAGUGGGCAUAAAUCAUUAAACUGAAACUGCGCUAGCUAGGGUUCGAACUUGGAACCUUUGGGCUCUAAUAACAUACUGAGUUGCAUGCAAUGGCCAGUUCAUUUAAAAGCUUAAGUUGGUGGAACUUCAACACCAUUUGCCAACCAAGAAACUAAAGAUACAACAUCCAUGGACAGAGAAGAAUAUUACACACAAAAUAACAGCCAAAUAUUUUUCUCUUUUACGAAAGAUCAACAAAAAGGGAGUUAAAUUGUAUUAGAACUUUGGACAAUUUUUCAUAAGUCGAGUUAGUUCACAGCUGAUUCUUGUUUGUAUUCAACUUUGACCUCCAUUGACUUUCAAAGAACAAAUUAGGUAAACUUUACUGUAGCAACAGCAUAAUAAUUGAUAAGUGGAUAACAGAAACUCUGAUCUGUAGCACACACACGGCAGGGGGCUUAUAACUGAAAAGUGCCUCCAACCUUGCCUGCAUAUAAUAUAAGCAAUGAUUGCUGAAUCUGCAGUAGUCAGAUGCUUGACACCACAAAUCCAAAGCAUUUAUCGACCUCUCGUCCUUCCUUUAUGCAAGAUCUGACGUAUAAGAUCCUAAAGUAUAUGGAGCUUGCAAGUGCCCCGACACUUAUCGCAAAUUAAAUGGUCCGACCUAUGUUUUGAAUUAAGUUGACCCUACCAAUCAAACGCGUGAAAGGAACAAAUGGAGCUUGGCAACCAUGGUAACCACAUUCCUGGUCUAUUCUCCUUUAAUUUAGAGGGGACAUAAUGAGCAUCACACCAAUUCCAACCCAGAUCUGGAUGCAUAACGAGCUACUGCACAAAAUCCAUCAUACAACAAACAAAACAGUACUCUGCGUGUAUCAAAAAGGAAUUAGACACUUGGAAGUGGUGUGACCACUAUUAUAUGGAGUAUUAUGGAGUGAAGAUUGCCCUUGGUCGAGAUGUACCUUUCUCACGUUUGAUUUCAGAGUCAACUCCCAAAAAAGGGGGAAAAGUAUGCAUAAAAUGUAUUAUUGAUAUAGCACCCAUAGGCUGCUUUCCCCAUUCAUCAGGGUGCGAAUUUCUGCUUUAAAAAAAAAAACGUAACUUCGCUGCAGUAAAAACAGCACUUGUUUCUCGAGGAAAUCGGAAACGAACCUGAGUACGAGAUCAAUCUGGAAUUGGAAAAGCACCUCGUUCCCCAUAGCGGCCUUCCGCCGCCUUCUUUGCCCCUCAUCCUCCUCCCGCCGCCUCUUCUUCCCCCUCUCGCUCGCUCGCCAUUUGCCGCAUGGCUUGAUACAAUGAUACUACUACCCCUGCACCGAUGGGUUCGCCGAACUAGGGCGGCGCGGGAUCGGCGGCCGUCGCCGGGAACUAGACGAAGGAACCCCAUCAACUUCUCCGUGUUCGCACCGAUGGGUUCGCACGACGGCGCCGUCGCCGUCGCCGGAAGGGAGGCGAAGGACACGCGUCACCGGCUGGUGAUUAUAACUAAGCAGGCCGUCCGAGUGGGCCCACAGCAAAUCCUAUGAUGGGCCGAGACACUGAACAGUAGGCCCAUUUGGCCGGGUCUUUGUUGUAUUUCAGUAAGUAAAGUAUAAAAACCCAGGUUACGAAGAAAAGGAAAAACAAUCAUCUGUGUUCGAGUACACUGAUCCAAUAUAGUUAGUGGCAUUAACCAUCACAAAGUAUUUACUACAAAUUACAGUGGCAACAACACAUUUAUUAGUGAGCGCAUUGGUUACUACGGAACCAUCACACUGCAGUUGUUAUCGCAGUAACAUUUCUUCGAUGCUUACUGCCUGCAAAGCAUUUUUCUAACUUCUAUAGACAUUGUUCACUCUGGAAUAUUGAAUGGCUGGAUGCAAAGCACUAAGCAGCAUCACUUAUGUCUUAAUAUGGUGUUAAUCCUACUAAGUACUACUAACACACACACCUCAGCAUUCCAGAGCAGUGCCCUUUUGCAUAGUUACACAGGCUUCAACCGCUUCACCUACUGUCAAAAAUAUCCAGUCUCCUCCUACCUGGUCAACCACACCUGCCAAUUUCAUCUUCUGGAUCGCUUGCCAUCCUGGGCCGGCAAUGGCCAUCUGCAGAGCAGCAGAGAGGUGUUUCAGCACAAGAACGAGAGCAUUUUACUAGGAAAUUUUGGGAGCUAGUACUUAUAUCCAUCAGUCAACUACUUCACCUGUAUGCUAAGAGAUGCCAGCUCCUUGUGUAUCUCUUCCAAGGCCGAAAUCCCUGAAGUGUCAAUGUUUACCACAUCUGCAAAUCAGAAAGAUGGGUCAGAUUUUCUUUUUCUGAAUUGUUCAGUAGCACCAGUUUUCGUUAGAAAAUGGUGAAGUUAUUUGUGUUUUGUAAUUUGUACUGACUUGACAUGUCAAGGACAACAGAUUGCACCCUCUCCCUGGCCUUCUCAUCAGACGUCUCGACUUCUUCUCGUAUCCAUUCGAUGAUCCUGAAUGAAGAACACAUAUUUGAGCAUUCCUACUCAAACAUUACAAACUCAUAUAAAUUUUAUGAGAUUGACCAUUCCUACCUUUCUUUGAUGAAAGUGGAGUUGAUAAAGCACAGGAAUGAUGUAUCAAUCCGAAUUGUCAAUACACUCGGAAUCCGGCAAGCAACAGGGUACUGUCUGAUGCUGCAGAAGAUGUUUGUCCCCUGAAGCCUACCAAGAACCUCUACCUGAGGCCGGAUUGACUGUAUGAUGAUCUUGGCAAAGGAGAUGGCGAGCUGCAUUGAGCGAUCGAUCCAUACCAAGUCAUACAACUGACAUAAAAUUUGCACAAAUUUCGACUCGAAACCAAGCUGCAUCUAUGAUCCAUCCGGCAUUGAUCUUACCGCUACGGCGAGGCCGAUCUCGACUGAUCCGAAGAGCACGCCGACGAACGCGCCGAGGCAUGUGAGGAAAUCCAUCUUGUCGACCUUCCAGAUGCUGAGAGCCUCCUUGAUGUCGAUCAGGCCUGGAAGUGCCGACAAAAUGAUGGAGGCCAGCACGGCUAUGGGUGUGUAGUAGAGCGACUUCAUGAGCAGCUCCAGCGCGAUGAACACCGUGAUGGACAUGACGAUGUUGGACACGGUUGACCUCGCGCCGGCGCUGAAGUUGACGGCUGUUCGUGAAAAUGAGCCUGAAAAAUUUUGUUGACGUCUGUCAGACACCAGCAGUAUUUAUUUGAUUUGAUUUGAUUCUUCUUCAGAAGACUGCAUAUAGGUAGCUGUAAUUGUGAUCACCUGUUGCAACGUAGCACGAGGAGAGAGAUCCGGCCACAUUUGAGCAUCCCAUGGCGAUCAUCUCCUUGUUCCCGUCGAGUUUGUACCCUCUUAUCGACGCGAAUGAUCGUCCAACAGCAAUGGCUUCCUGCAAAAGGUAACACAAGAAUGUCAAUAAAUCACUGCAUCUUCAUCUCUUCUUUUCAAUUUUUUUUUCUUCUCUUUACUAUAAUGACCUGUUCAUGGGCCAGCAGGCCCAUCUGAGGCCCAAAAUUUUUUUGGACCUUGGGCUUACAUUUUGGGCUGAAGUCUUUUCAGGCCCAGAUAAGCCCACGAACAGGCCCAUAGAACGCCCUGAUGGUAACUGAAGAAUUUUACUGCUACUUACCGUGAGGGCGAUGACGGCGCAGAUGAUGGCGGUCUUGGCGCAGUCGACGGUGUACGGCCCGCUGAGGCGAAGCUGGCUGGCGGAGCUCGGGUUGAGGCCGGCGUGCACCCGCUGGAUGAUCUUGACGCCGUGCUUGUCGGCCCUCGUCGCGUACACGGCGGCGGUGGACAGGAUGACGGACAGCAGCGGCGAGAUGGCCGACAGCCAGAACAGCUUCUUGUACCUCCUCCCCUGUGGCCACAUUUUGCAAACCCGUUUCAUGUGUUAACUAACAUGCAUGUGUGCUCGAUCCUCUGAUGAUCAUCAGAUCAUGGGAAGAUUAAGAUAUGUUUCUUUUCUCUUAAACAGCAAUUGGAUCGGAAGAGAUAUUUGGUUUGAUUAAUUGAUUGUUCUUACAAUGAAUCGCGUGGCGAGGAUGAAGAUGAGGAAUGAGCAUCCGAUCAAGAAGUUGCCGGGGUGCCACUGCAAUGCCAUUAGAUAAAAGAGAGAGCACAUUAGAAUAUUAGAUACAGCAGUUCAUCUUUUAUUUUCUUCUUUGUCUGAAUAUAUUCAGACAACAGUUGAGCCGAGCAUAAGCGGUGGGGGGUUGACAUAAAGGCACGCGCUAUGUUUGUCCAUUAAGUAGUAUCCAAAUAGUAAACAGUGCACGCAUGUGGUCUUGUUCUUCAUCCACUGAAGCCUGAUUAUUCUGUACUGUCAAGUUGCAUAUUCAUUCCAAGUACUCGAUUUUGAUUGUUUAUAGGCUUCUGGUUUUGCUCAUAAAUUCUCUUUGCUCAAUCGUGUACCGACCAGGGUUUCCCAAACCACCGGGGCCAGGGUUAUCGCGCCCCGGCGGUAAGCACGGUUACCGCGCGGUAACCGUGGUAACCGUGAAAAACCGUGCAAAAUUUAUCAAAAAUUCAAAUUAUUUUUUAAAUUUAUUUGAAUUUGAGAAGGUUACCGCGGUAUUUAUAUUACCGUACCCCCGCGGUAAGCGUGGUAACCACGGUAACCGCCGGUAACCGCGCGGUAAGGUAAACCUUGGUACCGACUACUGAAUACCAACAACCUAUGCAACAUCCAACGAUCUUUUCUAGGAUCAUUAUAUAAUAUAUAACUAUUAGUAGUAGUUCAGGACGAUACACCAAAUUGAUUGAGCUGGGAUUAGGUGCUAAUUGUUGUCUUUAUUUAUCUCAUUUUACUAUGUUCAGUCAAUCCAGGCACUGAAAACUACAAAAUUGGUUUAAGGAUUCGACAAAAAAAUAUCCAACCCAGAAAGGGUUGCUCGUUUGUGAUGCGUGCACCUCUGACCUCCCUGCAUAUCACGGGGAGACUACUGAAAACCAACUUGUCCCUCCCAACCAAUAUCCAGACUAUAAUAAUGCACAAAAGAACAACUAAUAAGCCCCGAGUCUUUUGUCCAAUCAUAUCGGUUGUAACAACGAAAGGGACGCCAUUUCUUUUCAGGUAGCAUUCAGUAAACAGGUUAAUUUUCUAGGAGCCUUUGAAAUGCAGAUGAGAAGAAACUAACAACCGAGUCAUGACAAAAAUAAGCAGACAAAUAAUGUCGAGAGCGAUGUGUGCAUGUCCAUGCCGUCGUUGUAUGUCCCUACACUUUAGUCGAUCGUUCAUUCUCCAUGGACGAUUAUUUCAUCACUGUGCAUCUAUUUGUCUUUGUUCUUGUUCGGCUUAACUGUAGUAAAUGAUUCUGUUCUACUGGAGUCUGGAGGCUCACCGGGUCUCGGAGUGCAGAGCAGACAGCCUUGAUGACGGAGACGACGUCGGUGCUGUUGGUGAAAUGGCUCAGCCCAAGCAAUCCCUUCAGCUGCUGCAGCCCGAUCACGAUCGCCGCUCCUGCCAUGAACCCAACGAUCGCCGCGUGCGACAGGAAAUCCACCAGGAAACCCAACCUGCGGCGUAGCAAAAACGAUCGUUGGUAGCCUGAACAAGUAUAGCAACUGGAGUGGUAUACAGAGAGGUUGGUGUUCGUCGUUGUACCUGAACAAGCCGAAGGAGACCUGGAAGACGCCGGCGAGGAAGGUGACGGUGAAGACGAGGGCGCGGUAGGUGACCGGAUCGACGGCCGGGUCGACGAUCUUGGAGACCAUGGACGACAGCAGCAGCGAGACGACGGCGACGGGGCCGAUGGCGAUCUCCCGCGACGUCCCCAUGACGGCGUAGAUCAGCGGCGGUACCACGCUCGUGUCUUGACGAUGGCCACAUAGCAAAUAGCAAAAAAAAAUGAUGCAAGAAUCGUUCAGGAAAAAUGAGGAGAAAAUUGAGUUGUUUUUGUGCAACGAAGCUGAAGUAUUGAUGCUUACAAAGACCAUACUGAGGGUCCAGCUUGGCCAAAUUGGCGUAUCCAAUGCUCUGCAGGAUGGAUCAUAUCCAAGGGAUAGCAUAUGUCAGAUAAGAACGAGACAGCUCUCCCCAAUCCCCAUCUCACUAUUUCUAGGCAAAAACUAUGCAUGCUCUGCUCCAAUGUUCUUCUGUUUUUUACUUCUUUUUUUUCUUUACAAAUCGUCUACAUCUAUCAUGAUUUUUCAGACUCCAAGUUUUUGAUGCUGUAGAAAUCAUUAAUGGUGUCAAGACAAAAUCUGUUUGCAGUUGCUUUUCUGUUAUGCUGGUUACUGCUACAGUAUUAUGGGAAGGGUAUAAAAAAAAUAAUAAAAGUUACUACGUACCUGAGGAAUUCCAAGGCUGGCAAGAGUGAGGCCUGCCAUGACGUCACUCCUGAACAACUUGAAGUUGUAGGUCCUCCCCCACUGCAGCACGGGGAACACGGUCUGCAGCGCCGUGAGGGCCCACCCCCACCGCGCCGGCGGCGUACGGCCUGCUCCUCCGCCGCCGCUCGCCCGCGGCCGGAACGCCUUGCGGACGACGCCGACGAACUCCUCGCGCACGCCUGGCGGCUUGGGGCUGCUCAGCACGAGCCUGGCCGUGUCCGGGUGCCUGGAUACACCGAAUGUGGACACCGUCACCGGCGUCUCGACCGCCGCCGCCGUGUCCUCCAUGGCCGCCGCUGCUGGCUACAGUAGCAGCUACUGAAGUGUUUGGGGGAACUCCUCCUCGCCUCGCUGGCUUUAAAGCCGUAGUCUCGGCGACCACGACUCCUGGCGUCUGGCCGGGCGCGUCUUGGAGGGGAGAAUCUCUUGAAGGCGAGGUGACACUGGCACGCGACGACGAUCGCACGAGAGGUUGCGAGCGAGCGAGCGAGAGCUUAGAAUUCCUCUCGUGUAAGCAUCAAAUGUAUGCCCCCGAUCGCGAUGCGAUUCUCGGGAACGCGUGGAUGGACGGAUGCACACAGGAGGAGAGAGGAAUUCUCGUCUCGUCUCGUUUCGCUCUCCUCUCCACUGAGAGGAAGGGGCAGCGCUGCAGGUGUGGGGAGGAGGAGCAAAUUGACCUAUUGCUAUUUAUGGGCUCGGGUGGUGGCACGGUCAUGGACACGGACACAAAGCAGGCCACAUGCAUCGGUGGGCGCCCGGGCGGCAAUAUUUGAGUGAACUUUUUUAUAUUCGGGUAUGAUUGGCUAUGCUGCCUUGCAUCUGGUGACCAGUUCGGAACAAACUGCCUCCAUUAAUUCCAGAUUCUAGCUAUUCCUUCUCAUGAUAGUAAAAAUAAAAAGGAUCGGUCGUGUCUAGCUAGGCAUGUAAUUUGCCUGGACCCAGAUAACUGGUCUUUUAGUCUCUUCUAGCUAAGGACAAACCUGACAUAUAACUUGAGCAGAGAAUUGAUUCUUGUGAAGAGUGGAAACCACAACACAGCAGAAGUCGCAUGACACCCCAGGUUGUUGGGCUGGACAGAGCGAGAGCGGUUUCAUCUUCUCUCCCACCAUUUCUCUCUCCAACCCAAAGCCAUAGAUAGAGUCUAGCGUACUAUAUGUUGUAUUUUUUUUUACUUCUUAACAACGGGGUUUUUAGUGUAGGCGUGUGGCUUGACAUUUUUUUUUCUGACAUAGCUUCUUAGGGUUAUAGUCUUAUGAUUUUUUUCUGCUAUAUUAGUGUGAAACAUUCUUGUGCGGGUUAUUUAAAAAGAAAACAUGAUACCCCACAUAUACCUUCACUAGAUUAGAAUACCAUACAUCACAGUUUACUAGAAAUUUCCCUAUAGGAGGAGAAAACAAAUAAUACAAUGAGAAAGGAUCAUAUCACAUGGUGGCAUACAUCUAACUUUUGCAACCGGGGUUCAAUAUUUCAGAACAGAAUUUCUGAAAUUCCUAUAAUAGUGGGUUUAUGGGUCCCUCAGAUGGGAUAUUAUUUUGGCAAAAAAUCAUUUUUAAUUAAAAACUAUAUUGAAAUGUAAAAAGAAACAGUUCAAAGUUUUAACUUAUUUUAGUUCAAAGUUUUGUUUCUAUCCCCCUUCCCCGCGGAAAUAAAUGCGCAAAAAGAUAGAUUGAACCCGUGUUGCAACAAGAGAACAGUGAACAGAACCAAAACUAGAGCAUUUAUCCAAACAAAUAUUGUUUUCGUGCGAAGUGGCAACUACUUUUGGUGAGAUAAGCCGCGGACAGCUUGGCAGAGGUGGUACUCUACAACAACGAUGACAUGGCAGCGAUGGACAUGUUCAUGUUGAGGAGACAUAGAUUGUCCGUCCAGCAUGAGGCAAGUGCUUGGCGGUGAUAAGACGGUUGUGUGGACUAGUUUUAUCCCCUUCCUUUGCUCAUGGCAGAGUGAAGGAGCUUUUGGCAUGGAGAUGGAAAAGGCGGGCUAGCUAACAAUGUUUGAAGCGAUGAGGAAAAACUUGAAGUUAGUCUUCUAAUAUUUUAUUUUCGGUUGUUUGUUUUUCUAUGUAUCGGUUAUGAGAUGUGGAGUGUAUGCACUCGUGUAACUUUUGGUUGUAUAUAUAUCCAUUUAUGGAAUAGAGGCUGGAUUUUUAUCCAUUAUUAAAAGAAGUUCUCAACUCAAGUAUUCUACAAUCUUCAACAAUUGUCAUACUUUCUACAGUUAUUUUGCGAGGUGGCAAAAACUUCCUUAGUUCCUUGCUUUUAGAGUUCAAACCUCGAUCCAAUCAUCCGAAGGAUCGAAUUGGCAUGAAAGACUAUUGGAUGUUUUCCCUUCAUGUCAAAGUUCUACUAUAUAUUCUCAAGUACCACUACUUGUUUGAAACAGUAUUGCUCUAUGCUACUGCAUACAAAACAAAAAUUAGUAAUGUUAGGGAUCAUGGAAAGAUGACUCAUAUUUUGUUAGAAAAUGCAAGACAUAAUUAACCAAUAUGCUUCACCCAGCCUUGACAAUCACACUUGCAUUGAAGUUGUCCUUUCAUGUUUCUUAUUCCCCAAAUCAACAAAAUUGAAUGCUACUAAACUAUUGGUUCCCUAAGUUGUUUCUUUUGUCCCUAUCAUGUUUCUCUACUAGUUUCACAGCCUUUCUAUUGUUGUAUUUUGACAAUCGUAGCAUUCACAGAUUAAUAAUCGAAAGUUGCACAAUGACACAAUUAAUAAGGACUAGGAUUGUUCUAAAAGAGGACACGAUUCUCUGCUCCGAUAGAAUGUAUAGGCAAGCCAAUGCUUUAUAGCCUCCCUAUACUGGUUCAACUCGCAAAAUACCCACACCCCACAUGCGCACACUCACUACCACCACACGUGGUCUAAGCAUAUAUCGUGGCCAGUGCGGGUGGUGCCGGCAACGGAGGAAGGUUGACGCAGGUGCCGCCGGGAUGUCGGUGCGGGCGACGGCAGGGAGGUCGGCAUGGCCGAUGGCGGGAGGUUGACGCGGUGACGGCAGGGAGGUUGGGUGACAAAGGGUGUGCUACAGAGGCAUGCGAAGGAUGGCCAGUGAGGGGCGUCGGUACAACGAUGUCUAUGCACUGAUAGAGGAUGACCGGUGAUGGAGCAAUGGAGCAAUGGCUGUAGAUCGACAGGGGGUGGGUGAGGUGUUGUCGGUGAUAUGGGCCCGGGAGUACGCAAGAUGGAGGGAAAGAAUCCUUCCAUCUGGCCAUGUGGCCGCGCGGCCUGUUGCCCCCCCCCUCCCGGGGGAGAACGAGUGCUCGUGAAGCGGCCAAGGGGCCUCGGGUUGCCCUGUUGCACCCCUCGGGCCCUUGGAGCGCGCUGCCCCGAGGCCCCCAUGUCACGUCCCAAAAUGACUCUAAAAUACAUCCUCUAAAUUAUGCCUAGAAUAAUUAAAAUCCGUGUGAAAGCCUCCAACAAUUAAAAUGUGCAAAGUUAAAAGUCAAAUAAGGCUUAGAGGAUUUUUGUAUAUUUCCUAAAAGCCUAAAAUGUGUAAAUAAAUUUUAGUGGAAUUUUCAGAGUACAAAUAAUAAUUAUUAAGAAAUAAACAAAGUUAAAAUGAUUUUAUAAAAAGAAAAACCCUAAAAUCCCUCCUUCUCUCUAAUGGGCCGAAUUCGGCCCAUCUCCCUCCCCCUCUCUCUCCUCUCCCCGCGGCCCACUCGGCCUCUCCCCGCGCACGCGCUGCUGACGGGCGGGCCCGCCCGCCACCCUCGCUGACGGGUGGGGCCCACCCGUCAUCCCCUUCCUCCCGCCGCCUCCCCCGCGCCCUAGCGCCGCCGCCGCCGCGAAUCCCGCCGCCUCCCGCCGUCCCCGCGUGCAAUAAAGUGGGGGGAAUCACUCCCCGUGAUCCCCUCUCCCUUUCCCCCCAUUUUUCCCUCUCUCUCUCUCGCGUUCAAACGGGCGGAUUUGCCCCCGCAAAUCUCGCUGGCGCCAUUGAUGGCGGCCGGACCUCCCGCGCCGGUUUCCUUCCCCUCCGGCCGCUCUCUCCCCCUUCCAACCCUAUUUAAACCCUCCCCGCACCUCCUCCGUCCGUUUCCGCCUCUCGCCGCCCUUCCUCCUCGCCGGAUUCGAGCUCGCGACGUCGCUCUCUCUCUCCGCCGUCGCCGCCGAGCUCCGGUCCGCCGCCGCCGUCGCCCCGGACCGCCUCCCACCUCGGCGCCGCCUCCUUCGGCUUCGCUGCAUCCUCGCCGACCUCGUCCACCUCUCCGUUUCGGUCGCCGACCACCGGAACGCCGUCGACCCCGUCGACCCGAGCCGCGCCGCCGCCUCCCUUCGCUCCGGCCGCCUCCUCCGUCGCCACCGUCGCCCCGGGGUGAGCCGUGGACCGUCGCCUCCUUUCCCCCUUCCCUCCCCUCUCUCGGCCGCCGCUCCGCCGCGCUGGUGGUCGCCGGCGGCGUCCAUCGGGGCUCCGGCGCGCCGCCUCCCGCCGACCGCGCCGGCGUGGCCACCCUCGUGCGCGCCGAGUGGCUGCCGCGUGGGGCCCGGCCGUCAGCCGCCCGCGCCCUUGGGUGCGGCUGACGCGUGGGACCCACGGCGCCGGCCGGUGCGAGCCCGGGUGCGCCCGGUCCACCGUGGACCGUGAGGCUGCCGCGUGGGCCCCACUCCCGUGGACCCGGUCCGCGCGCCCCCUCCCCUCGGCUGACGCAAUAAACACUUUUUAAAUAAAAAUUUUAAAUGAAGAAAUUCGCAAAUAUUCAUUUAAAGAGCAUAUAAACUUCAAAUGGCCAUAACUUGGCCAUUUGAACUCGGAAUUGGACCGUUCAAGUCUCUAAUUUUUCCUUAAGAAGUCAAGAACCCAUUUUUGUGCUUUGUUCCUGCUUGUUAUAUGGAUUUUAUUAGAGUAAAAGCCCUUUUAUUUUCCGUUGGUCGUGUAGACGCUGCAGCUUCGGAAGAUCCGCUCUUCGUGGAGGUUGAAGCCGACGUUUGGGAAAGCGAGCAAGGCAAGUCACAUCAUCCUUGAACAUAUUGAAUCCCAGUUUAUAAAAUUAUUUUGAUUUAAAUUAUUGCAUUAUCGCUUUAUUUAAAUUCCCGCGUUAUCACUGUUUUAUCUAGCCAUGCCUAUUUACCUUUGUUAUGACCUUAUUAUUGUUAUUGUUAUUAUUUCCUUGUUCACCCUAGAAUAAACAAAACCCCAACUAGUGGACACUCUACUCAUGGUACCACUAGUAUGAUUUUAGGUAGAUGCUUCGCUGGUUAAUUAGGCAACAUUAGGUGGUUUUACAACUCUAGACUUUGGGAUAUUCAUAUCACCUGGACACUAUGGAAUUGUUGGAUCAUUGUGGAAUUGGAUUCACACCUCCCCUCUAUUCAAAAUCCUCAAAAUGGUUUUAGGCUGGGCUCGGGGUGCAUGGUUUUGAUAGUAGCACCUCGGCCAUAUAAGGACCGGUCUUCGGGCCUCUGUUGCAAAGCACUACCGUACUUCCACAUGUCUAGUGGGUAAGGCUUAGUUUGUGGCUCAGUCUGGUUAUAAACAAAAGUACACGGAUGGAGAUGGACAAAGUCGGGGGUCGAUGGACAUCUCUAGGGCAAAUGAAGGCUACACGAGCUACGGCCCGGUAGUCGAGAUGUCAUGGCAUAGGGCCGAUGUCCUGCUGCUAGGGGCUCAGUCCUGCCUACCUGUCCCGGGGGUUCCGGCCGUAGGUGGGGUUGGGUCGGUACUCUUGUUUAUGGCUAGGAUGGGUUGGAAACUAUGUCAUGUCUUCCGUCCGUAUACCGUGGUGGUAUGUGGCACGUGGUUACACGUGAGGAAGAUGUGACUUGUGGGUAAAGAUGUACACCUCUGAUCAGAGUAUAACCUAUUCGAAUAGCCGCGCCCUCGGUUAUGGGCAAGCCGAGCAAUGUACCCAAGUUAGUGUUUUAAUUCUUAAAACCUGCUUAACAACUAAAAUAUGGAAUGGUUGGCCUGGGUUGGCUUGGGACGAGCUGGGACCCAGGGUCGGGUUGCCAGUUCGGUCUGAAUCAUCGUAGGCCUUGGGUUAAGGCAGGUUCGUGUGGGUUCACGGCCUUGAUUAAUAAUAUUAUAUAGCUCUAGAAUCGUGUUUACAAUAUAGCUUUGAGCAACUAAGUGUCUCUUAAUGCUGUUUAUUGCAAACCCUAACCCCUUAUAUUAUAACCCCCCUUGUACUCCCUUGCAUUUAUUCUGCACUUAUGGGUGUGUCUUGUUGAGUACGGUGGUUGUACUCAGUCUUGCUCAAUUUUUCCCAAACCCAGAAGAGGAGCCCCUGGAUGAUGAAGGCUUUGGUGUCUAGCUCGUGCCUGCCGUCAAGCGCCUGUGGUCGUCGCCCUAGUCUUCCGCUGUUUUUUGUUUGUCUUCUUGUGUGCUGGGUCUUUGCCGCCCAUGUAAUAAAUUAAUUAAUUACGCUUCCGCUUGUUAAACUCUGAAUUGUAUCAACUUUUGGUGUACCUUGCCUCCUGGGACAAGGAAUAAUGCACGCACGUAAGGAACGCCCGUUGGGUUAUUUCCGGUCGUGACACCCCACUCGGCUGCCACGUGGCGGCCGAGUGGGCGGAGGGAGAGGCGCUGCCAAGAGCCUUAAAUGAGCGGUGCCCCAACCGUCCCUCGCCACGUUUAAUGUGGCGUGGGCGGGCGUGAGGCGCUGCCCGAUUGACGUGCGUCAAUUAGGCUUGACUGGUAUGUGACUGGUCACAGGCGGAUGGGUCGGGUGGCAGCACACCCACGUUCCGCCCCUGUCAGGCGGAGUGGGGGCAGGUAUGCCCCGUCUGUAACGCUCCGCUUUUCGUGAGACGUUAAAAACUAAUUCGGCAAAAUCCUAAUUGCGAAAAUUUUCGUUCUUUGUGUGUGAGUCUAAGUUCUGCCAAGAUCUCAAUUCAAAUUUGUCCUUGAUCCCUCUCGUCGCCAUCAAAAUUCCCCCUCCUCAAAUUGUCAAUUCCGAUUCAACUUCCUAAGAUCAAUUCCGAAAUUCAAAUCCUUCCUUGAAUCCUCGCCAAAUACUUCUCCGAAUCCAAAAUUAUUCAAAUCCCGUCUCAAAUCCUCCCCUUGACUCCACCUUAUGUUCCUAGAGUCCAAGUAUCAAGGUUAAAUUCCAAAAUCCUUCUCAAAUUCUCUCCAAUCCAAAUUCCAAUCCCAAUAUCCUCCCAACUCAAAUCUAUCUGCAGAAGUUUAUUUUUCCUCCCUCGGGUGUUGUGGGCCGUUUUCCCCUCAGCCCACUUCCCUCUCCCAGCCGCUCUCCCCUUCCCUCGUGCGCCGCUCGCGCGUGCGCCAUGGCCAAGAGAGAGAGCUCUCUUUUCUCUCUCUCGCUCUCUCUCUUCUCUCCCGAUGCCCCAUGCCGCUACCCUCCAAAGACGGGAGCCAGAGCUCACGCUCCCCUCUCUCUCCUCCCAGAACGGCAUGGACGAGCCUCCCCUUUUUCUCCCUCUUUUCCCCUUUUACCCUCUCAGACUCGACCUCUCUCUCACGCCCAUGCCCAUGCGCACGGAGGCAGAGCGCUGCUGACGCCGCACGUGUCACAUCCUGAUUUUUGUUUCAGGAUUUAUAAAUUAUUUAAUAAAUUAUUAUUAGAAUUUAUAUUAAAUGUUCAUUAAUUUACAAGUGAAGUUAAAUGUGGGAAAUAAAAUUUCCUAAAUUUAAAGCAUGGAUGGAUUUAAUUUUUUUAUUAAAUUCUCCAUGGUUAAUUACACUCUCUGAAAUUUUCUCGGAUUUUUCAGAGCUCAAUUCCUAAAUGAUACAAAGAACAGUCCAGUAAUUAUUUGAUCAUUAAUGAUCUAAUUAUAAUUGUUAAGAGCUUUUCUUGUUUAAAAAUCCUUAAAUUAUAAAUUGUUGUUUAAAAGGAAUUAUUAGAAAUGAUCUUAAAAGCCUAAGAGAGAAGAUCUAAUUUUAAUUAAUAAAUUCCAAUAUAAAAUGGGGCCAGAUAAAAUUUCAUUAAAUACUUUACUUGAUUCUAUAGUUCCUAGAUUUUUCUAGGAUUUAUUUGAGCCAAGGAAGUAUUUUAAUCAAUGGAAUAUCAUUUCAUGAAUAAUUUAAAUUGAAAAAGGUUUUUAAAGUCUCUUUUGGCUUUGGGCCGAAAGCCGGCCCAAAACCUCUCUCUUUCUCUCUCUCUCCUCGGCCCAGUCGGCCCAGCCCGUCGUCGUUUCCUUCUCUCUUUCUCCUCGGCCCAGUUGGCCCAACCCGCCGUCGUUUCCUUCUCUCUUUCUCCUCGGCCCAGUCGGCCCAGUCCGCAGCCGCAGCCGCUCGCGUGCGCGCUCGCUGUCACUGACAGGUGGGUCCCACCUGUCGGACUCGUCGUCUACCUCCGGCCGCCGCCGCCCGAACCCUAGCCGAGCCGUGCCGCCGUCUCCUUCCAAAUUCGGCUGCGUCUUUCCUUCUCCGGUGAAAUCAAUAGAGGGGAAACGAUCUUCUCGAUCUCCUCUUCCUUUUCUCUUAUGGAAUCGUCGCCUAAUUCGGUUUGGAAAUCCGUGGAUUCGAGUUUGAUUCGGAUUCGUUUCUCUCUCUCGAACCCUAGCUUUCCUUCUCGCCGCCGGUCGCCGUGGGCCUUCGUCGCCGCCUCCUUGCCCCUAUAAAAGCAUCCCCGAGCUUCCCUCUACCCGCCGCCACCCUCGCCUUCGCCUCUCGUCGCCUGUAGCGCCCUAGCGCCGUGCCGCCUCGAGCCGCAGUCGUCGCCGUCGCUCUAGCCGUGCUUCGCCGUCGCUCCAGCUGUGCUUCGCCGUCGCUCCAGCCGUCGCCGUCACUUGGGAAGGUCGCCAUCGUGGUCGCCGUCGUGUCGCCGUCCUCGUCCGCCCCUUCGCCGCCGCUGUAGACCGCCGGAGCAUCGCCGUCGUCGUCAAGCCGAAGGACUCCGCCGUCUUUUCCUCGACGCCGCCGCCGUUCGUUCAUCUUCCGCCGUCGUUUUGGUCAUCAGUGAGUUCGCCGCGCCGCGCUCUACGUCCUGGUGCUCUCCGUUCGUGCCGUCGCGCCGUCGUUCGCCGGCGAGCUUGCACCGCCCGAGCCGCCGCCGGUGGUGACGUCAUCGCUGACGUCAUCGUCGUCGUUCCCCGUGGCCCGGUCGUGGAUCCGUUGGAUCUUGGCCGUCCGUUUUGGAUGGAUGGAUCUCGGCCGUUCGUUUCCGUGAGCCGCCGCCAUGCACCCGGUCCACCAUGAACCCUAGCCGCUGACGCAAUAAUCCUCUUUUCCUUUUCAAAAAUAAUUCAUUAUUGCGUCAUAAUUCCAUUAAAAUCCAUAUAAGUGUUUUAAUCCAAUUUAAUCUUUAAAAAUUCAUAACUAAUUCUUUGUAACUCAGUUUAAUGUGGUUCAAGUUGCAAAAGUUGUAUAAAAUAAAGAUCUACAUAUUAAAAUUAUCCAUAAAUAGAAUUAAAUUUAUUUAAUUCUUUUUAAAUGGGCUUUAAUUAGAUUUAAUUUUGUAAAAUUCGUAAUAAAUUCAUUUGAAGUCAGAAUGAGGCCGUUCAAGUCUCAUAACUCAUCUAAAAUUAUGAUCUACAUGUUUGUUUACUUUAUAUGUAUUGUUUAUUUGGAGUUUCUUAGUCUUUUUCUUCGUUUUGCGUGUUAGCUUGUCGUUUUCGUCGUUGCGAAGGUUCGUGAGUGCGUCGGGAGUGUUCAGAAGAUUAAUUGAAGACCGAUUAUUGCAAGGCAAGUCACACAGAUCCUAAACACAAUACCUUUGAGCAUGUUGAUCCUAUAUUUAAAUUCUCUAUUUAUUUCAACUGUGCAUUUAUUUUCGAAUGUCACCGGGUGGUGUGAACUUAUUCCUUUGUUAUGGCCAAUUUGCAUUGAUUACUUUAUUCCUUGAUACCUUGGGUUAUUAUAACUUGACUAGUUGAGCUUUAUAUAUUGGUUCAGCUAGAUAUUAGAUAUGAUUGCUUAGUCAUGCUUAGAAACAAUAGCACACUAUUGGGAUAACUUAUGACUCACUAUUAUUUAAUGAUGGCUUAAUGAUAGUUCACGAUGGUCAAUCGUGAUUGGUUAAUUAAUUACUUGCCAACUAAAACUUGAUAAUGGUGGGUUGUGAGCACAUGGUUUUGAGAGUCGUGCUCAUGGCAAUUAAGGACCGGUUCGCGAGCUACUAUUGUGAAACAUUAACCGUGCCAACCACAAGCCAGCGUGGGUAACGACUUUACCUUUUGUAUAGCAUGGUUCAUUGCGGAGCACCAGACUGAGAAGUGGCGGAGAUAAGCCCACGGGGGUCGCUGGGGAGUCCAUGCCUUGUUUUAUAAGGGGGUGAUUAUGAUCCAGGAAUGGUGCACUGUGGUGAGUUGUGUUGUGCAGAGGGUAUUGUCACAGCCUCUAUUCGGGUACUUUCCAGUAUCGCGACGCAUGGUAGACAUGAUGUUGAGGCUGUGUCUUGUGGGUACAGUGGUACACCUCUAGCCAGAGUAAAACUAUUCGAAUAGCCGUGCCCGCGGUUAUGGGCGGGUUGAGCAAUGUUUUUCGUGAUUAGUCUCACACCUCUCACAAUAAUUAUGGAUGUUUUACCUGGUAAUAAUUUGCUUAGCUCCUGGUUUGGAGUUAGAUCUGUACAGCCGGGUUUGGUUGUUCAGGAUGGUUGGGCCUGUGCAGCAUGGGUGUGUUGUUUAGUGUUGAUUAAAAUUUCUGAUUAAUUACUCCACUGUUUUACUUCUCUUAAAUGUUUUGCUAAAUGCUGCUCUUGCAAAUAAGCCUAUAUUAUGCCAUCCUUUGGUAUCCUUGUGCACUUGCAUAUUUGCUGUGUGGCUUGUUGAGUAUGUCAUAUGCUCAUUCUUGCAAUAAUCAAUCAACCUCAGUUGAAGAAAAAGGAUCCAGAAGGAGAAGACGUUUGGCUUAUGCCCCAGUUGAGUUGCCUGUGGGAGUGGAGCUGAAGCCAUCGCUAGACCGUUAUUCCGCUGCUGUUUUCUUUUCUUUUGUAAGUGAGUAACGUUAUUAUUAUGAUGGAUUUGUAUAUUAAAUUGUCAGUUUGUGUACCUCGGUUGAUUCCUGGACGAGGAUUUUAUACACAAAUAAGUUCGGAAAUUACUAGUGAAUUUCCGGGCGUGACAGCACGCUAGUUCGCCGCCCCCACCUUGACCACGCCAAGCCGCGCCAGCCCGCGCUCGCGGUUCAAUUUCCGCCGCUCGAUCCACCGGCUUCGCCGCCCAACACAUCCACACCGUCGCCGCUUUCGCACCGCCCACGAAACCGCCGCGGCCACCAGCCGAGCGCUUGACCGCCAAGGUCGGUUCUCCCCUCCCAAACCGACUUCGCCACCUAUAAAACCCAAUGCCGAGCCCCCUCCCCAUCCCAUCCUCUCUGUUCCUGCCUCGCACCAUCGCCGCCUUGUUGCUGCCCCUGCCCUGCAGUCGCCCUCGCCGUCCGUCGCCGAAGCACCAGGGAGACUGGUGCGUGCGAGGACGCGAGAUGAGGACUACGGGCACCCCUCUUCUUCCCCUUCCCCGGCCCGAGGCCGGAGAGCUCGCUCCCGCGCCGUCGGCCGCUCGUCACAGCGCCCGUCUCGGCUCGGUAGUGCACACUCUCCGUUCUCCCUCCUCGCUCCCUCUCCUCCCCUUAGCUCCGGGAAGUAGUGCGAGUAGCCUUCUAGUAACUAGCUGGCGCUACCCCGACCGCCGCCGCCACUCGCCGUAGGCUCGCCGGCCAUCUUGCUCUGUCCCGGAGGCCGCCUCUCGUCGUCAGCCUCUCUCAGUGUUCCUCCGCUCCAUCCGAGGUUGGGAAUGCAUUCCCUCGGUCCCGGUGGUGCUCCCGCCGCCUGGAAUCGAGCCCUCGUCGACCGCCGCCACUUUCCCUCUUUCCUCGCCGCCGACGAUCGCCGUCGAAAUCCGCCGCCGUCGGCUCCCCUUUUGUCAAUUCCUCGUGCCGCCACCCUCCUUGAGCACCUUGACUCUCCCCGAACCGCCGCCCCAGCUGCCGGCCUUCUCCUUUGCUUCCGCGCCGUGCCGCCUUCUUCCGCCGCCGCAUAGCGCCACCGCGCAUGCGUUGCUGGUGACCUUCGGGUCCCGUGUCGCAAUUCCUUUUCGCGUCAGCUAAGCCCAACCCCGCGCCCCUUUGUCCCUUCUCUCGCUCGUGCGCAUCGGCAUCCUGGCGAACUUCGUCACCGCUGCCGGCCGCCGUCGUGUCCCCUCUCUCCAAUCCAAGCCAUGGAAUGAGUUCCCCGUAUUCUCUUCCUUCUGCCGGUGCCCGCAUCUCCCUCCGGCUCGCCGUCGUUCGCCGGAUUCCGCCGCACGCCGUGAGCCGUCCGAUGAGCCGCCCGGCCUCCUCUCCCUUCCCCAUCCGAUGUGACAUCCACGUUGGCGCCACCUCAGCCAUCGGCCCCGCUUGACCGGGUCAAGCCGGCACCCAGUUAGCCGCCCACUCCUCCCCCUCUCUCCCGUGCUUGUGGGCUUGGCCCAUCAGCGCACCUUCCCCUUGGCCCCUUAAAGCGAACAAAAGUCUACUUUUGCUUCCUCAGUCCAAGCCCAGUGCCCACACACAUGAACAAAAGUCCAUUUAGUCCCCCUUUUGUACAGUACACCCAUGGUCCCGCUCGCUAGUGAGUGUCAAUAAUAUUCUUGAGAAUAUUAUUUCUAUAAGUUCCAUAAACCAUUUCUCGUAUUCUAGAAAAUCCCGACGAAUCAUUUCCUUAUUCGGAAAUUCCAGUUAAACUUCCAAAACUCAUAUCUCUCGAUCCGUAACUCCGAUUGACUCCGUUCAGCUUCCAGUACUUUCGUAAAGUUGAGAUCUAUCUGAUGGCACUAUUAAUUAGUCUAAAUAGGAUUUUUCUUUUGGUCCUUGUUUAGGUUUUGAUUGUUUGCGUAUAGUCACAGUUACUGGAUUUUCGUCAAUCGCGGGUUUUCUCGAAGAUACGUGAAGCUUCGUGAAGACCUUGAGCAAGGCAAGUCACCCUUUGACCAAUUGCUCCUAUAAUUGGAAAAUCAUUAUUAUUUUGUUUGCAACUUGCAUUAUUAGAAUCACUCACACUUAACUUGCUGGCCUCGGUUUGCGUGCCAAACCGACGGACCAACCCAGUAGUCGCACUACUUCCUGUAGGCUGAUAUACAUUAAUUUCCUUGUCGCUCCACCCUUGUGGUACUUCGGUAUCCAUGCUCUUUGAGCGCGUAUACCAAAUAUCCCACAUACACCGUUGAUUGUCGAAAACUUGGGAAAUGGGUUUGAGAAGCCUUGAAAACCCGACAUGUGGUGUCGGCAUGUUUGAAAAUAAAAUAGAUUGUCAAAACUCGCGAUGCGGGGGUUGUGCCUAUGUGGCACUGUCCCGUAUUCGCAUAUAAGGAUCGAUUCCUGUGCGAAAUUCAUCCGAGCAUAUAGCAAGUGCGACCACAUGUGUGAAAUGUGACACCCCUGGCUGAGUAAUUAGCUAAUCGGGGGAGCCUUGAUGCCGAGAGAAGUGGAUUCUCCAGGGUGGUGUCGGGUAGGACCCCUAGGCUUCCUGGCACAGUAUGGUCUGGGACCUAACCUGUUGUUAGUCUGGGACCCCUCUCGUUGGCAUAUGGUAAACCUGUGUCGGCUCUCGAAAUGUCUUGUCAUGAAAGCCUUAAGGUCUCCCGACGUGGCUGAUCUCACGGGCUGGGUGAUCCGGGUUAGUAAUGUCGUGUGGGUAAAGUGUACCCCCUCUACAGAGGUUAACUAACUGUUCGAACAGCCGUGCCCACGGUCAUGGGCGGAUGUGAGGUGUUUCCUGUAGCAUAGAUUUGUUUGCCAGUGCUUUGUGAAAAGUUGUUGUGGUUUGGGAAUCGUUACCAGAAUAAGCCUAUGUGGCAGAUGGAUGACCUGAGUGGUCAAGGAACGAAUUUGUGUGAUUCGGGAUGUCUACGGGCAUCAUAGACUAGGCUUCCCAAGUGGAAGCGGAUUGUUGUGCUGUUGGGCAGCUGGACUCUGGGAGUCCGAGAAAAUGAAAAGGCUUUGGGAGCCGAUUAAUCAAGUGAAAUGGCUCUGGGAGCCGAGAAGUAAUGAUCUGACCCGGGAGGUCGGUACAUUACCAAUUGAGUUGUUGAAAAGCAUCUCUUAAGUCGAGUUGAGACACAAGUCUCUUUUCGACCCAAACUUAAAAAGAAAUAAAUCACUUAGUGAUUCCAAAAUGCUUUCAAACAAAAGAUUUGCAAAACGACCUUGCCUCUCUUCCAAGCUUGCAUUAAACACCUAAAUUCCCGUGACUUGCUGAGUACGAAAGUACUCACCCUUGCUCUAUAUAAAUAUAUAUAGUUCCUCCGCCGUGAAGUUGAAGAUGAAGUAAAGUGAAGAUUAGGGUUUCGUCCUGGUUCCUAGCCGUCGUCUGUGGUGUUGGGUGUUAGUUCAUUGGUUCCGCUGCUGCUGUUGUUGUUGGUGUUUCCUUGUCCGUGUCGUCGGUUGCAUUCUCGGGCUUUUCUGAGCUGCAACCUAAGUUAAGAUAAAUAAGUCCUUUAUUUAUUUUAAGGAUUGCAAUGAUUAAUAUUGUCACCGUGGGUACCAGCGCUAUGUUCUGGGACUGGUACUGAGAUCGUGGUUUCGUAGGAAGCGGUUCGCGCCGUUUUUCCUACGACACGCUCCUGUUAGGUGCCGUUGUACGGCGGUACCGGAUUAGGGUGUGACAGAGAUGGUAUCAGAGCAUAGGUUGGCCCUAGGAUUGAAACCCCUGAAUAGGAUGGCACUAUUCUAAGGUGUCGUUGUCCCCUUUAGCUCUAGUUUUGUGAAAAAUCUUUUUGUGUCCAAAAGUUGAUGCUAGUCGCUUGUUUUGCUUUUGACCUAGAGUAAACCUGUCUUCACGCCCAGUUGAAGGAAGGUGUGCUCAAGCCUCUAGGAGUCUUAGUUAAGUCUUAGUGACAGGUCAUGCGUAGCAGUGGUCGGUACGGUGCUAGCUUUCUUAUAGGUUCUGUGUAGGUGUUGUUGGUGCGUGGGGGUGAAGUUUUUUUUUUGGUUCUUAGCUAUUGCCUUUCCAGAGUGCUAGUCUUUAUAAUUUUUUUCUUCUUUAUUAAAUGAAACAACAUACCGUUUGGUGUUGUUCGUAAAAAAAAAAAACAGAGAGAGAGAGAGAGAGAAAGACAUCGUAUACCAUCUGUAGCCACUAGACCACGUCAAAAAUGUAAACUUCGGCGCUGUGUAUGCACUCACUACUGUAGCUAAUUAUAGACAAAUGAUGGUACAGACAAACAUUAGGUCAUGGUAAUUAAGGCAGGCGUGGCCCAUGUAGCAAAUUUGUUUUGUCAUUGUUUCUGCCUGUUUUAGUAGUCACUGAUAGCCCAUUAUGACUAACUGUGUGGUGUGGGUGUGGUAGCAAUAUAUAUUUUGGUCAACAAAACACUGAUUUUGUGUCACUGCUGACGGCACAAUUUGCAGACGUAGGUAAUUGCUCAUUAUAAACCACAGAAAAAGCUAGCAAUAAUAUUAUGUUGACAUUGGCAGCUUGUAAGCGCACGUGACACGAUCUACACCAAUGAUUAAGCGAGUACUAACGAAACAAGGAUAGUUGAAUCCUCCACAUUGAUCAUUGAUGCAACCGGCAAUGCAAGUACUCCCUCUUGCAAGUCAGAUAUGGAUAAUGAAGAAUAAAAUCGAACCAGUAAGAACGAUGUUACUAGAUUUAUCCUAAACAAACUACCAUAAUACAUAAAUUUUUGUGAGAUAACUUACUUUUAUGAAUAUUAUUGAUCAAAGUAACAUAUUUUCUCGAAAACCAUAUCAAAAUCUAUCUUUUAUUUGAAACAACUUAUUUUUAUGAAUCUUAUUGAUCAAAGUAGCAUAUUAAAAACCAUACCAAAAUCUAAAGAUAUUAAGAUACUUAUAUUUUGGUACGGACAUAUACUAUAUUCUCAUAUAGUGUAUUUAAUGUUAUUUCUCUCUUCUCUCGUUAAGCCACAUCAGCCUAAUUAUUUUUAGCCUUUGGAUGAUAGUAGUUUUAUGGUUCAAAUUGUCUCUUAUUUCUUCUCCCAUACAACUAUGUAAUCUUAAUUAUUUUUAGGAUCAAAAUUCAUCAGUAUCAAUUAGUUCUAAUAAUCAUAUCAUACAACUAAUUUCCUACAGCAACAUGGUGGAGUAUUUAUUUAUGUAAACUUGUCGUGUCAAAGCCUUUCCAGCACUGAACGCUGCAGGAAGGUGUUCUCUGAUUCUCUUCUUUUUCAUGGUCACUGCAUACUUUUUUGUGUGGCAUAAUUAGGAUUAUCUUAUUUGGAAAAAAAAAGAAAUUUUGACGACAUGUUUACAAUACGUUGGCAUACCAUGAACCUGAAACCUUUUUUUUCCUUUUCAAUUGAUUUUGAUCUCUCCGUACCACCUCGUGAAAUGUGAGUCUCGAGAGUGGUGGAUCUAGCGUAAGACGAAAAAGCUCCAUAAAAAACGAACAAAACACAUAUUGUAUUAUAUUUAUAUUACAAUACAGAAAAAAAAACACCAUCAGUAAAUUAAGUUACAAAAGAAAAUCAGUACAAAAUAGAGUGCAUUUCCUGAGUCACCUAUCUCUAAACGGAUGCUAUAUAAGGCACGGGCAAACGGGUAAUAAAAUUUGAAAAUAUAUCUUUUUUUUUCGUACUUUAUGUUUAUAUACACGGGCGAAAGCGGAACGGGGGUGCGGGACCGUCGCUCGCCGCGCGCUCCCGCGUCACCGUCGCGUGGGACCGAAACGGUCCCGCGUCACCGUCGCGUGGGAGGCAGCUGCUGCCGGCGAUGCAUGCAUGCGAUUUGCUUGUCACGCUUGCGAUUUGCUUGUCACUGAUCAGCGGGACCGUUCGGUCCCGCAUCCUCGUUCGCCCAUUCCGCGGAUUGAGUACGUAUAUUUUUGCAAAUUAUGUCACAUGUAUAUAAACGCAAAAUAUAGGAAAAAUAUAUUUUCAAAUUUUAUUCAGCAAACGGGCACCACAUUACAGGCUACAGGGCAGACCGGUAGAGUCCGCCGCGUGCCUGUGGACCCAUACCACAAGAUACAAGUUUCACGGUACAUGGUAUGAUAGGCUAUGCUUUUAUAUUUAUUUUCAAUGAUCUUGUAGGAUACCAUGCUAAAGUUUUGUAUAAUAUAUAUACUUCUCGAUAAUAUAAGAAUAAAAUUUAUUACUAUAUUAUAUGUGCGUACAAAGGUAGAUGUUGGAGAUGUAAACCAUUUCAAUUAUAAAAAAAAAGUACAAUGCGUAUUUUUAAGUAAGGUCGAAGUUGCAUGGAGCUGCCUUGCAUUUAGUUGUUUUUUAGACAUUGUAAUAUAAUAUGAGUAAUAGUUCAGAGUAUUUGAUUUUUAAGGAAAUCAAUUUUUUUCUUAUGAAUCCGCCGCUGAUUCUAAGAAGGGCACUUAUCCAUUUCCAGCUUGCUUUUAAUGGCACAUAUAUAUAUAUAUAUAUAUAUAUAUAUAUAUAUAUCACGUAUUGUUGUUGGUAGACGAGUAGGCCCAGUUCUGACGUGAGGUGAAUCUUUCUCCGCGUCCCUUGGAUAAUACUUGAAGCCGUUCAACAUCAUAAUUUUAAAUUGGUAAUGGUUGCAUCAGUAGUGCUCCAUUACUUCGAUUCCCUUUAUCUGCUGUGCUUCCUCAGUUCCUCUGUUGUUCACCGGGACCGGGACCUGGUGGAGAAUGAAAGCAUGUUUAGUUCCCAACUUUUUCUUUAAACUUUUAACUUUUCUAUCACAUUAAAAUUUUUCUACACAUAUAAACUUCUAAUUUUUUCAUCACAUCGUUUCAAUUUUAAUCAAACUUUCAAUUUUAACGUGAACUAAACACCCGAAAUAAUCGUGUCUUGUUCAAAGAAAGCAGGAUGAAGCAUUAUAUUAGCUUUAGGAAAUUAAAGGCACUCAGAAUUUUGUAGUUCUAGCUAUCCUUUCAAAAGAUGAUAAUUUUGUAGCCUAAAAAAUAGUAGCGGCACCGUUCACACCUAAAUUUGUUCUUAUUUUUCUCAAUGUGUCUCAAUGUGUAGGCUGAAUUUAAAUUUGAUUGGACUGAUAAAUGUCACUAUGUUCUACAUCAUUAAUUGUUUUUAGAAAUUUUCACAACUAUUUUCAUCUGAUUUAAAAGAAAAAGAUAUACAACGGGACAGCCACUCAAUAGACUGUACGAGGGGAGAUUGAGAAAGUCCGGAAUAAAAGGUGGCAAAGGGAACCACACAUAUUGGAGAAGGCAGCAAUCAAGACUCAAGAGGGCUGGUCAAAAGAGGUGUGGAAAGGGGGCAUGUAGUCUAAGAAACGAAUAUUGAUGUGGUUGCGAAGGUAUUUCAUGAAACGUUAAUAAAGCAUCGGAAAAAUAUUUCUAAUGGAUAUAAACCAUCAUUAUAUUUUUCUUAACAAUUUUCCUUUCUUGUUGGUAAGGAGGUUUGAUUGGGAACAAGCUCGACGUAGAUAGGCUGUUUCAGAAAAUAUUUUCCCUUUUUUAAGAGAGAGAGAGAGAGAGAGAGAGGGGGGUGUUCAUAGAUGUAUGUUUUUUCUUUCCUCUGAUCGUCUGCUAGUACUAAAUUUUAAUAACUAAUUAUGCAGACAUGGUAUAAUUCAAAGCAUUUAUUAGCUUAAUCAUUUCCACUUAUUAAUUAGCAUCAGUAGCCGAUCUAUCACCAUCACCAUGACUAUUGAAUUAAUAAGGAUUCUUGAUGGAUUGGGUACACAUAGACUUUGAGAAUUAUAGACGUUUAAGGAACAUUAUGGAACAAGUGCCACAAGGCCACAUCUAGGUAUACAUGUUGGUGAUAUCUCCACUACGUGAUUAUAUGUAGCACUCUGAUUUUUUAAAUAUAAGUUAUUUAGACUUUUACAUGAGAAUUAAGGAAACAAUUCAAUAUUGCCCCCAUUUUAGACUAUAUUGAAACAAAAUACGGAGUAUGAUUAAUUUAUUUAUGAGAGGGGUAACACAUUUAUUUGAGAAAAGAAAAUACGAGAGAAAAUAUGACAAAAGUACCUAGGAUUUCAAAAAAGGGGUUACAUUUAAGAAAGAGAUGAAAAAGGCUAAAAUGGCCUACAUUUGUAAUCUGAAGGAGCAAUUCUUUCAAUUAACAAUUGACUAGUAUUAGCAUGGAAGUGAUAUUGCACUGAAAAGAGAGAGAAGAACCUUAUAGGGUCAUGGGGAUAUAGAUAAGUGCUGUAACCAACUUAUAUAUAUGAGCCUGAAAAGAACAUCUUCCACAAUUACCUGCUUAUUAUUUACUUAUUCGUUGAAGUGGUAGAUAGAGUAUGUAUAUCGGUAUAUGAACCACUCGCACCUGCAAAGUAUAUGGCACAUAAUGUUUUUUACUUCAUUACAACGUCAACUGAAACGUCUCUGAAUAAAAGAAAAGGACAACUGAAAGCUUGAGACAAUAGCAACAUUUUCAUUUAUUUUUCCAAAUCCUACCUAAUUUUGCUCGUACCGUGAUUCAAUAAAAACAAAGUGUCGAACUAAGUAAAGUGAGCCAAGUUUUAAAAUUACGGAUGAGUUUGAGGAGAAGGGGACAGAGAAGAUUUAAAAGAUACGUAAAACGAGGUGAGCCAUUACCACAUGAUUAAUUGAGUAUUAACUAUUUUAAAUUUUAAAGGAUUAAUAUGAUUUUUAAAGCAACUUUUCUAUAGAAAUUUUUUUUACAAAAAACGCACUGCUUAGUAGUUUGGGAAGCGUGCGUGCGGAAAACCACGUGUAGUUCAAUUACUGGAGGAAUAAGUUUGCAACGAUCGACAACCUAUAUAUCCCAACUGAAGAUUGCGUAGCGUAUUCUCAAAAACUUAAAACAAAACAAAAAAACCUGAAGCUUGCGUACACCUCGGACGAUGCAUACUUAUCACUCCAAUCAACCCAUAUUGUUUUAGAUAAUGGAACAGUAUAACCAAUCAAUUCACAUGCUGUGAUGCUGAUCACGAUUAUCCAAACUGAGCUACUUGUUAAUUAGAUUAAGUUACAGCAGGCUCAAUCAUGUCGCAUAUAUUAGGCCAAUAAUUUCAUCAGAAUACCUGCAAUAAGGCAGUAGAAUAAUGUGUUCCACAUCAGAGAGCAAACAAGUAAACCUUUAAUUAGUAGUAGUAUUCUGUUUCCAUGUUGAUAUACUAACACAUUGAUUGAUUCUCAAAGUCAAAUGUAGCCAAGUCCAAUCUUAUAUAUGUACUUAUCGAUGGGAGAUAAGCACAUAUAAGCUAGUCAUCUACCUACGUCCACAAGUGGAGAAGAAAAACACGCGAAGCUGCACUAUUCCAAAUACUCACACCGAUUUUUAGUGUUUAACGCCAAUAAAUUUUAAACAUAUGUUUGCCUAUUUAUCUUAUUAAAAAAAUAUAUAUGCAAAAAUGUAAUCAUGUUUAAAUGACCUUAAAUAAAAAAAAGUUGACUUAUGCUUUUGAAAAUGCCAUGAGCUUUUUCAUUAGUUUUACUAUCAUGCAUGAACUCUUUAGUUUUAGGUAUCCUAAAAUUUAUUAAUUCGUAAAUUUCGAAUUAAUAAAUAUAAAGAAUAUGUGCUCAUGCAUUCCGAGCUUUUAAUUUAGUAUUUUGUUAAUUUAAUUUCUAAUUUCGAAAUUAAUAAUUAGCCAAUUGAAGUGGACUCCUUUUCUUUAUCUAAGCCGCUAUUUAGAAAACAACCAAUGCAUUUAACAUAUAAUUAAAACUUUAAUAUUUAUACUAUUUCAUCCAUUUUAAAUUACUUAUCGUUUUAGUUUUGUCCUAACUCAAACAUUUGUGUAUUUUUCAAUCAAUUUCUGAAAAUUUAUAUAGUUUAAUUUCAUAUGAUUUUUGUUUCUAGAUUCAUCUUGAAAAAUACUUUCGUGAUAUAUAACUCAAAUGUUAUUAAAAUAUACGAUUUUUUAAGAAACUAAUGGUAAAAGAUAACAUAUUUAAUUUAGGAUAAAGUUAAACUGAUAAGUAAUUUAAAAUAGAGAAACUCAAAGGAUCGAUAAACGGAGAGAGAGAAAAAAGGCUCGAAGCUAACAAGCUAGCGUCAUGCUUAUCUGACAAGUUCUUUGAAAAAUCCUACAGUACUUUGAGGAGGUACAUGGUUAUCUCAAGUACUUCAUCCUUCGCGAAAUAUACUCCCUUUGAUUAAAAAGACUUUAUUUUUUGUUAUCUCACACAUACCAAUAAAAAAACUAAAAUGCUCUUCACUUUUUUAAACUCCGAUAUAUUUGUCCAGCACAUUUUUAAACUCUAAUGCAUUUGUCUGCUAUUUUCUCAAACUCCAAUACAUUGAUUCUCUUAAAGAUAAAGUCUUCGUGGAGCAAAUAACUCCUAUACAAACUUAUCCAUCACAUUUUUAAACUUUAAUGCAUUUGUCCAUCAUUUUCUCAAGCUCCAAAUACAUUGAUUCUUUGAAAUAUGAUGUCAAAUAAAAUAGAGUAACAAUUUUUAGCCCUUGAAAUGGCUAUUAAGUACAAGUGUAAAAGACUUGUUUUUCUACUUGGUGGGUUCCGUGCAGAGCUAGGCUAGUUGGGAUAACAAUGAAGCCAGAGGGUAGUACGAGUGUAUGAGUAGUUUGCUGAUAGAAAUCAUCUUUCGAAGAUUGUUAUAUUUGAGAUACCAUUUGAACUCUAGAAGCAUGCUAUAUCCCAAAAUAUAAAAAGUAUUAGGGUUAAACACAUGUAUUAAGAAAAUAGGUAAAACUAAAUGAGAAAAUGUUGUGUUUAGUUAAAACAGGAAAUAAAUGGAUACAUUAAAAGUUAGAAGGUUGUCAUUGGGUGAAAACAAAAUGUAUGUGGAGAAGUUGUCAUAAUAAGAGAUAAAUUUUGAAUGCUAUAACUUCUAUAUUUUGGGAUAGAGGAAUCACCGAACUUUACAAUAAAAAAGUGAGCACAUACCAUAAAAUCACUUAAAUUCUUUGCAUACGGCAUGCUGUUAGCUACCACCUCCGUUCCAAAAUAUUAUAACAUCUGUCCAAAUUCGUUGUCUUAAAAUUGAUCAAAUUUUAUCCUAAAUCGUAAUAUUUUGGGAUAGAGGAAACAAUAGGCAUAAAGAAAGCUCUGACUCUAUGUAUUGUCAACAUUGGAACAUUAAAAACAAAAGGACAACAAUGUGCGUAUGCACAAGUGUCGCGAAAUGACGUUAAAAGUGCUCGUUGGCCAGCUGGAAAUUGACCAAGUAAAUUUGCUGUUGCGAGCCGGGUGUUCGUUUCAUUUCUGAAGCAACUCUUGAAAGUUCAACAAUGGGGAUCGCCACCUGUAUACUCGUCAUCAUCAGCUGGCUAGCCAUAAUUAAAAAAGACAAGGAAAGAGUCGUUGACUCGGAGGAUGUACACGUUUGCACCUACGUGGAAGCUAUUUUCCAACAAGAUAUAUUUGGAUCAUCAGAUCAGCGUGCGGUAGCUAGAGCUGGUGAGUGGUGACUAGCCAGGUCAUUGUCUCCUAUUCGAGUUCUCUUUUUUUUUUGUUGGCCUUGCAGUGGUUAGUUCGGUGCUAGUAUUCUCCCGGUUUAUGCAUUGGUAUUAUCGGUGUGUGGGUGAUGGUUGUUUUUCUUCGUUUUUCUGGUUAAUUAUGACCUCCUAGUAUUGUAAUCUUAUAUUUUUUUUCUCUAUCGAGUCGUUAAAAAAAUAAGUACUGGCCCUAUGCAGUUGUGCUAGUUGUAGUUUAUGUUGAAACAAAAACGGAGUUUGGUGCUAUGCAGAUGUGCUAGUUGUAGCUUCUGUCAAACCAAAAACGGUUUAUCUAUUAUCUUAGAAGAAAAAAAAUGACAGUCUUUCCCUAUAGCUUAAAUAUUUUGGGCUGAACUAAACUACGGCAUCAAGUUAAUUAAAGGCGUCGAAUUCAAAUAUCUUAACUGACACGCAAUUAAAUAAAAAAAAUCGUUGCUCACUUUUAUUACUCGUUUGGAUUAGCUCAUACACAAUAUAUUAUAGAGAAAAUCCCUUCCGUGCCUCUGAAAACUCGCCCAAUACCUUCCAUACCCUUGAAUUUUACUAGAUCUCCUAUGUACCUUCGUAUUUUCGCUUUAAUCCCUUCCAUAACCCUCACGUUUGGUUUCCGUUAGAUCUGUGACUUAAUCCGUGUGUUACAUUGUAAGUAUUAUUUAAAAAAACCAAGAUACCCCUACCAACCCUAGCUAAACAAAUCCAAUCCUUCUCUUAUCCCAUAUCCUCUCCACGCGAGCAGCAUCCGCGCGCCGCCGGCCACCGCCCUCCCGUCGCACGAGCCACCGUCCAAGGCAUCCCGCCGUGGGCGCCACCAGACAUCGCCUUCCCAUCGUGCAAGCCAAAACCGUCCUCCCUUCGCAGGGGCACGACCCAGCAUCGCCUAGCUAAUUUGGUUUGUCUAUUGCAGCAUUGUGUAUGGAAUGAAAAGUUAGUUUGGUUCCUGCACUAUUGGGUAUGUAAAUGAAAUUGUGGUGUGUGCAUGAUAUGAACUGUUAUGUAGGACUAUGGAAAUGAAAUUGAUAUGAAGUGCUCUGUAUGGAUGCUAUUAUUUUGUAUGAUGCUCCUGAUGCUCUUAUUGAUCCAGGUGUAUUUUGUUUCACAAAUUUCUGUAUGGAUGCUCUUCUCAUUUCCUUCCUAUCAAUUGGUGCUAUUAAUGGUCCUGAUAUUUUUGUUUGGAUGCUCCUGAUGAUUUGCAAUGGAUUUUCUCCUUUGUCCACGGCAAGUUUUGCUUCAUGUUGAUUGUACCAAUUUCUUGUACAGAGGAAACUGGUGUCACUUUGAUUUUCCUAAUCCUAUUAUUUUUUUUCAAAAAAAAGUUCAAUGUAUUGCAUUUUUUCAAUACUACAAUAAUUUUUUUAUACUCCUUAUUUAGUUUCAUAAAAUACACAUAUUGUGCAAUCAACAUUUUUUCAAUUGUUUUCCAAUCUACCUGCUGCUCCUCCAUCUAUAAGGGUAAUAAUACAUUUGCAACCACAUAUAAUUGGAAAAUGAAGGAAACCUAACGGGAGAGGCAUGAAAGGGAUCAAAGCAUAAUUCAAGGGCACAAAGGCGAUCGAGUAAAAUUCUGUGAUAUGGAAGGGAUUGAUCGAGUAUUAUUAUUGUCGUGCAUAAUCCGGGUCACUGAAUUCCGAUCUAAAGGCUAUGAGAGAUUGAUCAAAUGGCUAUGAGACGCUCAUGAUGUGCACUACAAAAUUUUCCACGGACAAUUUAAAAAUUGCCUUUUAAAUCUGGAGUUCCAUAUUCUAGAAACACUUUUAAAGGUAUUUUAAAUAUCGUCUAGAAUAUUUUUACCUUAGAGAUAGUUUUAGCAUAUUUUAAAGAUAUUUUCUAAGUUUAUCUUGGAGAGACAUUUGUAGGUGCUCUAUGAUUUGUCACAUAUGUAAAGGUAUUUUAACCUCUCUAGACUUUUUAGGAGGCUAAUUAAUCUGCAGUAAGUGAUCCAAUUUAAUUUACACGAAGACUCUAUAAUUUAGUGCCAUGAAUAGAACUGAUAAUAUAUUCAAUAAAGCAAUCAAAAUUGACUUGUCUAUCCUUGCAGUAGCUACCAAAUUAAAAGAUAUCGUUUGAAAUGAAAAAGAAAUUAAGGAUAUAAAAGCAUAAGAUGGAUAAUAACAUGCCAUACAUGAAUCACACGUGAAUAAGUGGAGGUAGACAUUAAAGUGUCUACAUGAAAAAAAAAAAGAUCAAAAUUUUUUUUGGAGUAUGGGAGAGAGGCUGUCUUGGUACUAUUUUAGGGAAAAUACCAUGAGGCUUGAGUAAAUGUAUGUUUUCCUCCCCAAAUAAAUACUAUAUGAAAGGGAAGAUGAAUACCCAAAUAUAUUUUUAUAUUCAACACUUUGUUACAGAAUGACACAAAGAUUUUUUUUUUACAGUAGGAAUUAAUUAAAUCCAACAAUAUUUCUUUACUUUCCCUUUAUUCCACAGAUAAGGUAUAUAUGUUAGACAUUCACCAGAUGAUGAAAUCUCUAGAUCAAGAGGAUAGUCAAUCAGGUUAUUUAGAGCAGUCUGGUGAAGUGGGUAUUUGAGCAAUGGCUCAGGGUCGCAAGGAGCACGAAGGAACAAGAAGUAUAUGUCAAAUUAAGGCUUUAUAUUUUAUUUUCGUGAUGACAAAGAAGACGGAGUACGCCCAUAGUUGUAAUUGCACACAAUUAAUUAGCACAUGCCUAAAUAGAUUAGCAAUGUUAGAGCACCCGCAAUGGUAAAGUAAGGUGCUAUAUAAAAUAUGUACAUCUCAGCAAUAGAUUAGAUUAAUAGUAAAUCACUUUAAUGGUAUGUCUACAUGGGUAUCUAUAGCUCUCUAAUCCAUUGCCUCGUUUUUCUCUAUAGACUAUCUCCAGGUUAGUAGAUAGCUUUACUCUAUCUCUUCAUUUAAUCUCUUCCAAGUAGGAAAAUAUGUUGAUAUGGAUCUCUUAUAGAGAGUCUAUAGAUAACUAUUGUGGGUGCCCUUAGAGAUAUAUCACUGCAAACCUCACAAAGUUCUCGUUAUAUUCAUACACUCAUAACUUUCAUAAAUGCGUGUUAAAUUAACAGUCGCACCUUUGUAAUGGGGCUUCUUCCCCUAGCAGCGGAGUGGAUCAUUACCUUCAAAUCUGAUUUUGCUUCCUUGAUCCGCGGAUGGUGAAGUUCCCAACCUCAUAGUAUUCUUCCCAAGAUCGAUCUCAUUGUAGAGUGCAUGGAGAUGUUGCUUAUCAACUUCUUAUGGAGAGCAAAAUGUAGAUCACAAAGGUAGCAUAGCUUGCUAAUUAAGCAGUAAGCACAUGGAGCACGGGUUGGUGUGGAUAUCACAAGCUUCGUUUGCGUUUCGAAUUGAACAUUUUAUUACUCGAGAAUACAAUCCUCUCAUCUGAUUAAUAUAUAAAUCUAUUUUCAUUAGAAAAAUCCAUUCGUCUCUGUCAGAUAAUCAAGCAUUAAAGUCCAUUCGAGUAUAGCAUGCAUCAUCCCUCUAAAAUAUCCAUAUAAGUCAACGUGACGGGCAGCUGUUUAGUUGUGAUGAUCCUCUUCUUUAGACUCUCUGCACCGCCUACACUAGAUUCAUCGAACCUGGACGCAUUUUGACUUUACGUACGUCUCUAUCCUUGUUCCACUGCUCAUCUUCUUCUUCCUCUAUCUUUUAUAAAUUGUGAAGGAACUGUCACCUCCUGAGUCCUGACCCACAAUUGCGUCCACAUUCCAAACCACUCUCCGCCACCCAAUCUGGAAGAUAUAGUAGUGCCACAUUGGUGGGCCCAGACAAUCAAAAAAGAAAAGCCAACAGAAAAAGUUCUCAAGCUGAGCGAAAGUGCUCGAGAGGAACAUCAUAGUAAGAAAAAGGAACCCUUUGUUCUUUACGAUUUGUUUGUUUCUCUUCGUUUAGUUUAAUUUUGUUACAGCUGCAAUGCAAAAAGCCAGGUGAAGCUACGACCUUGAGUUCUUCAUUGUAGCCUCUUUUCCCCUGGUUCCAUAUCUGAACUUUCCUGCUCUUUGGGUAUUUGUAUUUUGCUUCAGGUUUCGAUAUCUACCUAGCUAGGAGUAGUUGUGUUUUGGGGAUGCCAAACAAAAUUAACAAUUGCAUUCUUUUUCCUUUUUGUUCAACCAGCCAUUUGUAUUGGCAAAGUCUCGUGCCAGUGCCGAUACAGAUUUAUAGUUAAAGACAGAUAUAUUUUGGGAUGGAGGAGUAACUAUAUAUCUGUGGGCUCUAUCGAUCACAUUUGUCGAACUAGAUGCAAGAUAUGCAACUGGUGAAAUAAUUGCUGAACCUUGUUUAUUUUAGGUUUGUUGGAAUGAACUGGUAGUCACCUCCUUCCUACAAAUCUCUUCUUGGUCAGCUCGGAUACACACACUUGUGGGUAUAACCUGCGAUGGGUUGACGCGUCCACAGCAUUAUGCAAGAUCACUCGGUGUUUUUCAGGAUAAGAACAGUUACUGCUUCGAUCUUGACAGAACAGUGCCCAGAGAAUGCAUAUGCUAUGAAACAAUAGAGUACUGGAGUAGUACAUUUGGGACAUUUGGCAUGGAAAGAUUAGAGAGAGGAAAGGCCCAAUAUGCGCUAGGGCUCCAAUAAUUUCUAAGCAAGUGAUGAGAGCCAUCAAUGGUGCCGAGAAUCUAUUGGCUGGUAGCACUUUAGAACCAUCCACUAUGUUGCCUCAUAGCAUACGCACGUUGGGAUCUUAUUGUUCAGUAAUAAUCAGUGUUCGGUAACCUACCAUUAACCAUUAGGCUCCCUGCCUUGCGUGUAGCUGCUGGCCUAGCUUGACCAUUGGAUCAAGUUGAUGCAAUUGACAGCAAAAGAUUUGCAAAACUAGUACUUCCAUAUAGUUAUUUAAUUAGUCGACCGUAUGGAGUAUGAGCUUGCACUUCUGCGGAUAAUGUUCAGAAUUAGAGUUAACAACUACAUAUGCAUGGCAUGCUUCCCAUUAGAGCAAGUAUAAUAGUGAGCUAUAAACUUACUAUAAUCUUAGGUGGAGGAGAGAGAUAGUGAAAAAUCAAGGGUGUUGGCUCUCAUGCAAGAGUUAGCUUAUCACAAACUUUAAGACAAAUACAUUACAUGUAUAAGUGAGAGAUAGAGAGAAGAAAAUAAAAUUAUAGCCAACCUUAUAGCUAAUCUAUUAUAUAUGUUGAUUUUAAGAUGAGCUAAUAGUAGGAAGUGAGCUAUACUAUUAUCCUUGCUCUUAUUGAACCUGAUAUGGGUUUGUCCAGUUUCAUAGCAAGUUGAUUCUUUUUAGGAAACGGAGGAAAUACCAUUUAUGAUCUUAUGAAAUCUGUGGACGUCCUUAACGAGUUAAACUUGGUCAGUUGUUUUUAGGCUGGGGUUAUGUGUUGUUGUUAUCUAUUAAUUUCAAGCAAUUGGUUUUCAUCUGUCAACGAUUGUCAUUGUCAGUAAGGGAAGGUAUGUUUUAUGGUAAUUUGCCUAUAUGAAAAUGUACACGUCCUUUUCUCGUGAUGCUAAAACUUUAGAGGCAUUUCAUCUCAAAACUUUGGAGUUUUUAGAGGAAUCCAUGGUACUACAGAAUUUGGACAUUCUGAACGUGACAGCAUGCCGUCAGAAAAUUUGUAAAUUUGUAGUACUCUCUUGAUCAACUAGCCGAAGAUGACUACAUAUAUAUGCCGGUAUACAAGCUUAGAAAGAUUACUGCGGAAUAAAAUGGCAAUUAAUUAAGAUCUGAUUUUGCCAAGUUAAUGUGAACCAUGGAAAGUGCCUGAAAGGCUACAACCUCCCAGAAAUGCUUUUGCAAAUUGUCCAAUGGACUUCUGAAUCUCCCAGACUUUAUGGCAUCAACAUAAAUUCAUUUUCAAUGUUAGAAUUCAAGUCUUAUCCCCCUGUCCGUAGUUUGGAAUGUUAACUCAAUGAGGCAGGUCAUUGUUAGCAGUGUGGUUCUCUUCCUCCCAAUCUCCAUACAGGGGUAUAAAGUGGAUUCUCCUCCUUUCUCUGAUGAAUUGAUGAAAUAAUUUCGUGAACUUAGUUCAUAUAUGGUGCAAUGAGCCUUCUUUUGGUCCCAAUGUUGGAAUAGGAUGUCAAGAAUCAGUUUCUUACUGUUAAAAAUAUAUUUAGGGUUGGUAACCCAAUCCAAUGCAUGGCUUUCUUACAAUUUUUUUUUUUUUUGCUAAAACUCUUAUGCUUUCUGAUAUUUCAUUUAUGCACUACACUCCAGAUCAGAUAUAUCUUUCUAUAAAUAAACUCUCAGACAAUAAGUUUGAGUACUAACAUAAUAACCAUGAGAAAGAGCUCUGUUGAAAAAUGCAAUCUAAAAGCAAAUGACUCUGCGGUGAAAAGAAAAAAAAAAAGGGAGGGCGGGGGGCAAAUGACUAGUCAGGGAGGGUGAUUGAAACACAAAAUUUUAUGCUGAUGGCUGCUGAACCAAUCAAUGAUGUUCUUGGUCAGAAAACUGGCAACAUGCAUUCAUAAUGGUGCUGAAAUUUGACGAAGUAUUUACACAAACUAUAAGUUAUACUACUUACAUUAAAAUCAUUAUUUAAGCCCACUAUUAUAAAUUUUCCCUACAUUUUUUUACAACACAUACACGUAUACAGCCGAGCAAGGAAAAAAAAUAUUUCCUAGCAUUAUUUAUUGCUUUUUUAAUCUGCCAAUUUUUCAACGGUUGUUAUGCAUGCGACAUGAUUUAGUUGGAAUUUGCAAGUACAUGGCGUACGUUCAGCAAAUGAUGAGCUGUGGGAAUAAGGUAUUACAUUAGGUAGGGGUUUCCUGAGAUGUUGUUGAAUCUAGAGCAUUUUUCGGCUCAGAUUCACAACUACAAGCUUAUCUUAAACCUUAUUGAAAAAUAGAGGUUUGACCUUGAUCGUAGCUUGAGAUCCUCUGCGCAUAUAUAAUGGACUUCCGGUAGCUUCUGGACAGUGAAAUUAACAAGGCAGGCCUUCGACUGUGGGCUGUGGGCUGAGUGCGACUUCUAGGCUUUCGUUGUGUAGGUUUUGUUUCUUUCUUCUUUUUUCGAAAAGAGAGGUUUCUUUCUUGUGUUCAUUGCUUUUUUAUGCUCAAUGCUGUCUGUUUUAUCAGAAACUAACAGAUGAAUAUAAUAUUUUUGCUGCUUCUUGUUAGUAGUACUAGUACAUACAUAUAGAUUUCUUCCCUGCGUUGUAAAUGCAAAUGUUUCAGAUAUUUUGGUUCUCCGUACUGCAAAAGUUUUUUUUUUCUUCACUGUCGACCAUGCAUGCGUUGAUGCAUGCAGGUGCUUUGGCAGUACUGCUGGAUUGAAUUAAUGGAUCAAGACUGAAUUUAUCUGUAAAUAAUUAGUUCAUCGUAAUAAGGUUGAUGUGUUUGUGCUUACCUGCUUCAGUACUGCGCUUCAUGUGCAGAUAGGUUCGCCUUCAGCACCUUGCCGGUGAAUAACGCCGGCAAUGCCGCGAGCCGUGUCCGACGGGGGCGAGGCCAUCGACGCCGACAUCGCCAGCCGGACGUCAUCGCACAGCCACAUGGACGGCGGCCAUCAUCAUCAUCAUCACGGCCACAAGGUCGAGUUCCCACCGAAGAAGAAGCUCAUCGACGAGUUCACCGACGCCGUGAAGGAGACGUUCUUCGCCGACGACCCGUUGCGGCAGUACAAGGACCAGCCGAUGUCAAAGAAGGUGUUGAUCAGCCUGCAAAACUUCUUCCCGGUGCUGGACUGGGGCCGGCACUACACCUUCCGCAAGUUCAGGGGCGACCUCGUCUCCGGCCUCACCAUUGCCAGCCUCUGCAUACCCCAGGUUUGUGCCUGACGAUCAAACACCAUCUUGCACGCACAGCAGCGACCUGAAUAGCACAGCUCCUGCAUGAAAAUUGCAUACAAUCUUCGUCAUCAACCCUGACAUUGCAACACUUCAUCCAGGACAUCGGUUAUGCGAAGCUUGCUGGCCUAUUACCAAAUUAUGGACUGUGUAAGUGCACAGAAUUCACUUACUAGUAUUUGUAUAGGGUGUGCUCGAGUGAUAGUCCAGCCAGUGGUCUAACGGAAAUCUGCUGAUUUUUCAGACAGCAGCUUCGUACCGCCUUUGAUAUACGCGAUGAUGGGAAGUUCCAGGGAUAUAGCCAUUGGUCCAGUGGCCGUCGUUUCGCUGCUGCUUGGCACUCUCCUCCAGAAUGAGUUUGAUCCCAAGAAGAAUCAGGAAGAGUACACCCGGCUGGCCUUCACUGCAACGUUCUUCGCUGGGGUCACCCAGGCAGCGCUCGGAUUCCUCAGGUGAGUGGCUACCUGCAAAGUGAUCAUUGUUAAGCAGUCAGUUCUUAGAUAUGCAGUUCUGCCCUCUUGGGUUCUUAGAGUGGACAGUUUACCAUAGAGUGAGAUUGUACUCUGCUGCAGGCUAGGGUUUAUCAUAGAGUUCUUGUCCCAUGCUGCCAUCGUUGGAUUCAUGGCGGGAGCGGCCAUCACCAUUGCCCUUCAGCAGCUUAAAGGCUUCCUUGGAAUUGCAAACUUCACCAAGAAGACUGACAUCAUCUCGGUCAUGAAAUCAGUCUGGGGAAAUGUUCACCAUGGGGUAGGACAAAAUAAUAUCAUUCCUUUAAGAACUUAUUGCUUCUUCAUCAUUCUUUGAUGGAAACCAGUAUUGGGUACAACUGAUGCUAGCUUGGUUGCUGCUGCAGUGGAACUGGCAGACGAUAUUGAUCGGAGCAUCCUUCCUGGCAUUCCUCCUGGUUGCAAAAUACAUUGUAAGAUAAACUAUACUAAAUGUUCAGAUUUUGAUCUUGGAUAUCCUUGUUAGGGAAAACGUUUACUGGUUCUCAUAAUCACAGUUUCAUUUGGGCAUUUCAGGCAAAGAAGAAUAAGAAACUCUUUUGGGUGGCUGCAAUUGCACCACUCACUUCGGUGAUCAUAUCCACCCUUUUUGUCUAUAUCACUCGAGCAGACAAGCAUGGUGUCGUGAUUGUAAGUCAAUCUUGACAGCUCGUAACCCUUUCCAUUAGGAAAAGAAACAAAAUUAUGAAACAAAUCAAAGCUAAUAUGAAGUAUGUUACUGAUUAAUUGCAGGUCAAGUACAUAAAGAAAGGCAUCAAUCCACCUUCAGCUAGUCUCAUAUACUUCAGUGGCCCAAACCUGAUGAAAGGAUUCAGAAUAGGAGUAAUAGCUGGCAUGAUAGGCCUAACAGUAAUGCAAACUUCACCAUCUUAAAGAUUAAAAAUUUGUUGCAUGGAAAGGUACUAUUCACAAGACAGUGCAGUGUUCACUGAUCAAUUGCUGCUAACUUUAUCAGGAAGCAAUUGCAAUAGGAAGAACAUUCGCUGGCCUGAAGGACUACAAGAUUGAUGGAAACAAGGAAAUGGUUGCUCUAGGAACAAUGAACAUUGUUGGUUCAAUGACUUCUUGCUACGUAGCUACAGGUAACCGUUAAUUCAGCCAAAAAAAAUUAGACCAAGUAAUUCAGCCAAAAUAACUUAUAGCCCAUACAUAUAUACCAUUCUCGUGACCCUUUUUUUUCCCUUAUGUACAGGUUCUUUCUCGCGGUCAGCAGUCAAUUACAUGGCUGGCUGCCAAACAGCGGUAUCCAAUAUUGUUAUGUCAAUUGUAGUACUGCUCACACUGGAGCUGAUUACUCCAUUGUUCAAGUAUACGCCCAAUGCCAUCCUUUCUUCCAUCAUCAUAUCAGCAGUGCUUGGCUUAGUCGACUACCACACAGCAUACCUUAUCUGGAAGGUUGAUAAACUUGACUUUCUGGCAUGCUUAGGAGCAUUCUUUGGCGUCAUAUUUUCAUCAGUGGAGUAUGGUCUGCUAAUUGCGGUGCGGUUUGCAAUCAACUCUGUCCUAUACUUACAAUUAAGCUCCUUGUAACAGUAAACAUAAGGGCUGAUGGUACUUGAAUUUGUUUUGGAACAGGUUGCGAUCUCACUCGCUAAAAUUCUUCUACAAGUUACACGACCCAGAACAGUUUUGCUUGGUAACCUUCCAAGAACAACAUUAUAUAGGAAUAUCGACCAGUAUCCAGAAGCUACCUUGGUACCAGGAGUGGUAAUAGUUAGGGUGGACUCAGCUAUCUACUUCACAAACUCGAACUAUGUUAAAGACAGGUAUAAGUUCAAAACUGGUGGGUUUUUUUCUCAGUUGCUAGUAUGACUGCAGUGCUAUUUAAUACUCCCUCCAUUUUUAUUUAAAUGAUGUUGGUUAGUCCAAUUUGAACUAAACAACAUCAAAUAAAAAAACAGAGGUAGUAUUAUAAAAUUCUCAGGACGGUUUAUCUCCAGUUAGUUUUAUUUGAUAGAGCUUGUCCAGGAAAUAUGAGAUUAACCAUGCUUUUUAGGUACGCAUCAAUAAUCUGAGUUGACAUUUGCAAGUAGAGAAAAGAAGAGUUGGAAAUAAACUGAGCAAAUACUGUUCAGUUUCUGCUCUGACUCACUUUAUUUUAUUACGAGAUGUUCAUGAAUAAACUACAUCGAUUUGUUAUUAACAUUCAUGUUCAUCCUUUCCUACUGAUUACUAUUCUUUGGGUGGGACUUUAAAUCUGCUACUGAAUUCAGAAAUCAACUCUACCUAAAAAACGUAAGACUACAUGUGCAAGUGCCUUGUGCAUUUCGCAUUAUUCAAUGUUUCAUAUUAUCUGAUUUCAGAAUCCUGAGGUGGCUGAGGGACGAGGAAGAACGUCAGCAGGAACAGAAGCUACAGAAAACUGAGUUUCUGAUUGUUGAGCUAUCUCGUAAGGGCAUAGUGUAUUUAUUUCUGCAAAUAAUAGUUGAGAUCACUACUGAUAUGGAGUUAUUGGCUAACAAACUGAUCUAAUUCUUCAACAGCGGUAAUUGACAUUGAUACAAGUGGAAUCCAUGCCUUGGAGGAUCUAUUUAGAGCACUUGAAAAGCGCAAAAUCCAGGUAAAACACCAAAACUAGUGUCAACCAGUGUAAAGAUUUUACAGCCAUUAGCACUGAUCCUUGUACAGUAAUACUGUUCAUAUAAGAAAUCCUUAGUUAAGGUAGUAAUAUUAAAAUCCACGUGCUUGACUUACAGCUGAUUCUAGCCAAUCCGGGGCCAGCUGUGAUCCUGAAGCUCCGAUCAGCGAAAUUCACGGAUCUCAUCGGUGAAGACAAGAUAUUCCUGACUGUCGGGGACGCAGUGAAGAAAUUUGCUCCUAAGGCAGUGGAGAAUGUCUGAAGAAACAGGCAUAGUACAGAGAAGUUAUUUUCAUUCUUUUGCAAGCUCCAUGUUUGCAGGUGUGAUUUAUAGAGCAGAGCAGCACAGGAAGUGCAUAACAUAGUUUUUCAAAAAGGUAAAAUAAAGGUGGUGUGCCGGAGUUGGAGCGCAUCAGGUUUGCAAGAUAUGGUUGGAGAAAAAAGCAGAUGGUGCCCGUUGCAUAUCUACUUCAGUGGCUGUGAAUUGUGAUUAGUAUGUUGGCAAGCACUUUGGGUGAAAGUUUGAUGGAUAAGAUAAGAAAAGAUAGUCAUUUGCUUAAGCUGUCAGUGUGUAUCUCCAUCUGGUUGUAAUUACCCCCUUUCUUUCUACUUGAUCAAGCGUACAAAUUACAAUGAGGUUUUACUUUUUGACGACCAAUGUUGUCUAUAGCGUCCAUCCAAUAUACAUGCUUUCAGAAUUUUUUUUCUCUUUCCCCUUACGAAUCUUGUGCUGCAAAUCUGCAAUGCGUGUGGGCAAUCACUCCCAAAUAGUCGACAAGCACAAUUGUAUAGUACAGUAUAGCAUAAUAAUAAUCCCUAAUAAUUAAUAUAGCGAUGUUCUUUGCACUACCAGUUCAUUAGUCAAUGGGCGAUGAAGCAUAGGGAUUAGGGACACGUACGCUCGCUUUGCCCGGCCGGAUUUGGAUUAGCCGAGCGGCUAACCGCCGGCCGCCGCGACGGAGCGAAGGUCCCGCCGCCAUGCCGCAGCCAAGUAAGUAGCAGCACUCCAGCGGCGCUUUCUCGCCCGCCGACGUGCGCCGUACCGCCGGUAGCGGCGCCCGCCCCCACCCGCCGAGGCGCCGGCCGCGCUCGGCACCGCGCCGCCGCCACCGCCACUGCUUUGCUUGGGGUGGCGGCGCACCGUGGACGACGACGACGAUGGCGCCCGCGCCGCAGCACAUCAACGGCGGCGGUUUGGUCAGGCUAGCGACGGGCCCAAUCCUUCAUGGGCCUCAUUUCAAGAUUUGGACCGGCCCACUCCUCUGCAACGUCCUCUACUCCUCAGGAGCCAGAAUUGAGGCCCAUCCUAACCAGGGCUCGCUAAUUGCUAUAGGCGCCCGCGCGCGCCGGGAAUGAAAAACUACAAUGAUUACCCAAAAUCAAAUUUUAUUUUUUGGACUUAAUAACAAAAAUCAAGUUUUCACUAUAUUUGAUUUUCUUUUUCUUAAUACCCAAAAUCAUAUAGUGUUUUUAGACUAAAAAAUAUCCGUGCAUUACAACCUACUCCCUCCGUCCCAUAAUAUAAGGGAUUUGGGGUGGAUGUCAUCCACCCCAAAUCCCUUAUAUUGUGGGACGGAGGGAGUACCCAUAAUUAUAUAAGUCUAUAUGAUUUAAGAAGUAAAGCAUGGGUCGAGUAUAAAACACUAUAUUCAACUAGUUUUCUUAACCAAGUACAUUUUUCUGGUUUUUAAGAAGACUGUUUUUCCUUUUUCUUUUUAAUAGGGCUAUGGUGGCGAUGGGUGAGGAUCAUCAACCAUAAUAUCACUACCAUUAUAGCACUUGAUAUGUAUCACCUUUCUAUUACCCCAUACAUUAGUAUCUGUAAUUGUAAUAUUAUUAUGGUGAAAGAUGUGAAUCGGUUGUGGUAUGGGGAAGGAGUGGAUGGAUAGCUUGGGAGACUUCAAUUGAGAGGAAGUGGAUGGACGGCGCAGCUAUUUAAACAGUACUUUCUUCGUCUUAAAAUGUUGCUACCUAGGAUGAGAUUUGACCCAUCCUAAAACAACAAAUCUAGACAGUAUUUGUUGUCCUAGAUUGGUCAAAUCCCAUCCUAGAUAACAAUAUUUUGGGAUGGAGGUAGUAGAAUAAUAGAUAGGCCUAUCACUGCAUCAUACGGCCGUUACCUGCUCCUUAGAAACUUCAGAGAAGCAAAUACCCCUUUUCUGUUCAAGUUCUCUGCUUACAUAAUUAAUACUACUAGUAAAUAGUAAUGCCGAUUAUCAGCUGAGUCAAUGACAGGAACCGGGUUUGCUCCAUAAGUACUAUAAAUAAGACUAACCAGACUUGUUUAGUUAUCUCUGAAAAAUGAAUUUCUUCAGUUUUCUGCAAUGUCAACUGGGAAAAGAAACGUUGAAAUGGGAAGGCAAAGAAAUGGGGGGAAGGACGAAAGGGACAGAUGAACUGCUGAGAUUUCAGUGGAGAUUUGAUCCUGGAUUUAAAUGCAAUAUCCGAUUAAUCUAGACCUAUCACCAACUGAGAAGCAGCUUGCAUAACUCAGGAGCAGGCUGGAAGGAGUGAGAGCUAAACUGAUAUAUCGCCUGGUAAAGAACUAAACAAAUCAUGCAUUGUGUGCAGAAUAGCUCAAUCCUAUCAGAAUACUACCAACAGGGCAUAGACUUGACUUCAAGUUCCAGUUCCAGAUCACACGGCUUUUCUUACAUUUUAUCAUUUAAUUUUUAGAAUUUUUGCAUUUAAUUUUGAUCAUUGUUGAUGGUUCUAGUUAGAUUGCUUGCCUCUGAAAGUCACAUAUGGCAAAGUCAUACUAAUUGAUAUUAUAAUUCUCUUCCACCUUACUCCUUUUUAUUCUCAAAGUGCGGAUGUAAUUCUGCCGCCUCUUCACGAAUGUUCGCAUUAAGAUGCUGAGAGUUAACAAAUGCAAUUAUUUUGAGGCCUCUCUAAUUUUAAGUUUUACAUAUUGGUUGUUAAAUGAAUUUGACAAAAGAGUUAUGUCUCUUUUUUAGGGUGAAUAGCUAAUACGGUCAUUGAAGUUUCGCUUUUGGCUCAGUAAUUUAGUCCUCGAUGUUUCAUAUCGUCUAAACAAAUCCUCCAAAUUAAUUAUUUAGGCUAAUAUAGUCCUUGGACUCACAAAAAAUACCACGUGAGUAUGCCAAGUCAUCCUCGCAUGCAGCGUAUGAAUGAAAUGACAAUUCUACCCUUAUAUACCAUAUAGAAAUGAAAGAGAAGACACAAACAGAAAAAAUAACAGGCCAGCCUAGGCCUAACAUUGUUGCGGAUGGGUGGCCGACAAAGGAAUUUACACGAUCAGUGCUUGGCUGCAGCAAUCGUAAGUGACAAUUCUAAAACGAUCAUACACGUGUGAAACAUUUAUCUUCUUUUUUCUUUCUUUACUAUAUGGUAUAUAAGGGUAGAGUUGUCAUUUCAUUCAUACCGCUGCAUGCGAUGAUGACUUGUCAUGCUCACGUGGCACUUUUUUUGUCCAAGGACUAUAUUAAUCCAAAUGAUUAAUUCGGAGGACUUGUUUGGACGAUUUAAAACCUCAAAGGCUAAACUGGGCCCGAAGCGAAACUUUAGGAACCAUAUUAGCUAUUCACCCUCUUUUUUAAUUAAAAAGGGGGGGGACCUUCAUGUUUGGUGUAUCAAUCGUUGCAUGUCUUUAAAAAGGAAAAUAUGUAGACUAUUGCCAAAUAAGAAGAUGUGAAAUCCAUUGUAAAAAAGAUUAUGUGCCUGUCACGUAUCCCAAAACCAUUCAUAAGAAAAAAAGAACUCUCUGAAUGCAAAUUGAACCAGUUCUAACAUUGAAAAUGAAUAGGAUUGAAGUUUAGGGUGAAAAUUAAACUGUAAUGAGAGUUGAGUUGAGGAAGCAAAGAACAAUCUUUCUAAAAACAGAGCUUCUCAUCACCAUUUUUCAUAUGCAUGCAUGUGUGGCUAUCCUUUUUCUCUUUGUUGCAUUAAAAUAUUGGAGGCAUGGCGUGUACUCCUUCUGUCAAAAAAAAAAAAGCAACCUAGAUAAGUCUAGAUUCGUUAUCCUAGGUUACAUCAAAUCCUUGCCUAGUUUGUCUUUUUUUUUUUAUAGAGGGAGUAUGCCGCUGAAAGCUUUAAAAAACUAUAGGCACGACAACACAAAAGUCAAUUUUGCUAAAGUUUUAAGCUGCAACCGAGGUUUCUAAGUUCAUAACUCAGUCUGUUCCGUCUGUUGUCUAUGUCUUUAACUGUUGAAACGGCCAGCUUUCCUAUCCAGAGUAUCCUUUUUGGUUUCUGAAGACAAACUCCAUGUAACGCAUAGAAAUUAAUCAUUUCAUAAAAUACAUAUACUUUAACCAAAUUAUUAUAAAACUAUAAAUUUAAGAUGAUACAUCAUAAAACUAUAAAUUUAAGAUGAUAUAUAUCAUAAAACUACAGAUUUAACAAUAAAUUUGUCACAGAACUAUAAUUUUAAGGCUAAAUAUCGUAAAAGUAUAAAUUUAAUUAAUUAUCACAAAACUACAAAUUCUGAUGUUUAAAUUCUUAGCAUUAAUGUUUUAUUUGAGUUUAAACGUCCAAGUUUUGUGAUCAAAUUGGUGCUAAACUCAUAGUUUUGUGAAAACUUUGUUAUUAAAUAUUUAAUUUUACGAUACUCCAUCUUAAAUCUAUAAUUUUGUGAUAAAUUUGAUGUUAAAUCUGUAGUUACAUGAUACAUAAUCUUAAUAUCUAUCGUUUCGCAAUAGUUUGGUUAAUAUAUGAAAUUAAAGCAUAUUUCGACAACCGUGACAACUUAAUAUAGAUUCAAUCAUAUAUGUAUUGUUAUAAUCUGAACCCGACAUAAUCAACAGUGUGGAUUCUUGUUUCAUUUUAACAAGGUAAUGUUUCGCCAUUGAGAGAAAAUGGUCUAGCUUCAUCCUCUUGUUUGAAAAAUAUGACUACCAACUUUCUUGCGUAAUUAUGCCACUAGAUACUAAUAAAUGUUCAUAUUGGAAUAAAGGAAUAAUAUGUUCAAGCCUAUGGAAUUAUUUUGUACUACUAACUUGGUCCUAUACUCCUAUUAAUUUCUAACCGGGUGAUUGACCUUGAUCGUAGCUCGAGCACCUCGGUUGCCUUUAUAUGGGCAUUGGCUUCAGCGAUGUGCAAGAAAGCAGAGAGUUUCAUUGGUUGGUUACGCACAAGUGCCUCCGGUAAGCAUCAGUGUCUCACCUCUUUUUUUAAGUAAUAAGGUGCAACGGUGUCUCGAUGUGUAGGAUUUCUUUUGUAUCCUGGUACUUCUUGGCUUUGUAGGAUGUACUUCCUCGUUGAUAGUACAAUGAUACUUGAUACGUUUGCAUGAUAUUAAUUCUCGUUAAUAGUACUACAUGUUUGUAUGGGGGACGCCUAAUGGGCGAUCGAUCGCCGUGGGGAUGGGGCAGCGAUCAGAUUCGCUCUCCACCUCCCCCCUCCCUCCCUCCACCUGGUUUCCUUUUUUGGCACCGCAUUACUUUCAUAUUUUAGUAAAUUUAUACACCUAAAGUUUACACAUCUAAAGUUUAGAGACCAAAAGUUUAUAAGUCAAAAGUUUAUAUAUCCGAUUCAAAUUUGAAUUCGAAUUCAAAUAUUUUUUAUAUAUAGUAUUUCUAUACAUCUAAAGUUUAUACACCUAAAGUUUAUAGACCUAAAGUUCAUAAGUCAAAAGUUUAUAUACUUGUUUCAAAUUUGAAUUUGAAUUCAAAUAUCCGAUUCAAAUUUGAAUCUGAAUUCAAAUAUUUUUCAUAUAUAGUAUUUCUAUACAUCUAAAGUUUAUAGACCUAAAGUUUAUAUACCCGAUUCAAAUUUGAAUUUGAAUUAUAUCUGAUUCAAAUUUGAAUUUGAAUUCAAAUAUUUUCUAUAUAUAGUAUUUCUAUACAUCUAAAGUUUAUACACCUAAAGUUUAUAGACCCAAAGUUUAUAAGUCAAAAGUUUACAUAUCCGAUUCAAAUUUGAAUUUGAAUUCAAAUUUUUUAUAUAUAAUAUUUCUAUACAUAAAUUUUUCUAACUUCUGUUUUUUAAAAAAAUUUGUGUGGUCUACCGUAGUAAAAAGAGGGGAAGGGGAGGAGGAAGGGGGAGAAGAGGAAGGAGUACAUAUAGUAGUAUAGGGGAGAGGGUGGGCGGGUGAUCGCUGGGCGGGUGGGUGAGCGAUCACCCACCCAUUAGCAUUUCCGGUUUGUAUGUGCGUGUUCCCCUGUAUCUUUUCCCUUUAGUGUUCAAGGAACUAUAACCAUAUUUCAGAUGUUCUUGGUCUUCUUAAUAUAUGUCACCGUGACUCAAUCGAGCUAGGUAGAGGAGGUAAACAAAGUAAACUGUUUGGGAAGUUCAGCGCGUAAAUUUUCAGACUUUGGUGAAUGUUCAGGGUGUAACAUAGCUUUAUCCACAAGUUAAUAUGGUCUUUAUGGUUCAACCACUAUAUACUCAUCAAAGAGUAAUCAUGAUAACGUCGCUUAUGGCCAAAAGGGGGGGGGGGGGGGGGGUUUAUUCAAUUAUGAAAUUUUACUCCCCUAUGUACUAAUUGAGCUUUGCUGAUUCAGCAGUGCUCAUCUACGUGGACACCACAAAUCAAUAGAACCUUUUCCCAUUUGGACGCAAAACCAACCUAAGGCCAUGCAAAUCAUCAUGUCUCCAUUCAUCGUACUGAUGCAAACUUGUUUCCACUCUGCUUUGCCUCGAAUAUCUCGGCAGGUAGACGUCAGGUAUCUUCAGUUCUGCACGCCUAUUUAACCGCCGAAUUCUGCAACCAACGCCGGCA
rnacentral:lncRNA from 1 species